rnacentral:lncRNA from 1 species
UACAUUGCAUGUUAGAUUUGUUUGAAUUUUAAGUUGUUGCGAAUAAAUAUUUAUGUUGUGAAAGUCGAAUUCAAUAGCUACAAAAGCAGAGAUAAUUGUAUUUUAUAUAGUUUUUAAGAAUACAAGGAUAAGAUCAUAACGCAUGAGAUAACGGUAUUUUAUAUUAAAAGACCAUAAUGCAUGUAUUUGAGCCAUUUAUAUUGAAGACACAUAUAGAGGAAUGAGUGCAGAUCCGACCAUAACUAUUGUGAAGCUUUCCUCAAGUAUUCUCAUGCACCCAAACCUUAUCUGGUCAAGGUUUCUGAUUGAAUAUAAUCAAUUUCCGUGCAGUACCGAAGACAGCUUCUGUUGGUAGUUGAAUUUGUGGGGAAUGACAAAUGUAGAGAAAUACAACAAUAAUGGUGGAACUUUAUUACGUAAAGUAAUGUGUUUACAACUAACUCUGUAUGUAGUAAGAAAAAUAAUAGUAAUAAGUAAACUUGCAAAAAUUUUGUGUGCUUGAAGGCACGUUACAAAUGUCGCUUUCCUUAAGACGUUAUUUGCCCCCACCAAUUGAGUGAUGCACAUGGGUUAAGCAAAUACGCAUCCAGGAUACAAUGAAGCACUUGUUUGUUUGCUAGUGUUGUGCAUCAACGAAAGCAAACCAGAAUACUCUUGAAUGUUGCAAGCCUGCCAAGAAACAAUAAAUUGUUCCUGCAGAAAACAAUAUAUUGGAUUGUGAAUGCACAAAAGAAAUGGGUGUUUUGUGUUGAAAUUCGUACUAGAAAGGAAUGCUAAGAAAAGAGUGGUGUAGGAUCAUUGAUUUCAUGUCUAAAUGGCUUAAACAUGACCCCUAUUUAUGGAUAUACUUGUGCCCCCUCAUUUGGGUUGUCAUCUUCAUGAUACCCCUUCAUUCAUGGCCAUUGGAUCUAUAUUUAAUUUUAAUCAAUGGUCCAAAUUGAACCAUCACCAUUUCAAAUGAAAUGUCACCAUGAAAUGAUGCAUCUCUAAGUGAAAUGUUACCAUGAAAAGUUAUAUCAUUUAGUAAAAAGAUACAUUUUCUAUAAGACAUAAUUAAAUAGACAUGUCCUUACAACAAGACAUCAUUUAAUUAGACAUGUCUUUAGUGAAAUGUACUUUUUCUAUAAGGCAGAAUUAAUAAGACAUGUCUUCACCAUAAGACACAAUUUAUUUUGAAAAUUUUCCAACAGCUUAUCUGUAAAGCUCUUCAACCACAAGCAUUUCUACAAGGCAAAAGACUAGGACGUGUUGGAAUGAAUAUCAAUAAGGGAAUGUCUUAUGAAUUUGGUUUAUAUCCUAAUAUAAGACAAUCAAUAAAUAUUGGAUGCAAUCUAAGGGCUAACAUUUGAUUGAUCAUUGUACGAAAAAAAAAGGUACAAAAAUACAAAACAGAGCUGAUUGAUGGCCUUUAACAGUCAGUUCUAUGACAAAGUAACCACCACAACAAAUGGAAUUAUAAGACAUCAAGAAACUUGAACUUGGCAGGAGGUCUCAUUAGCAGUAUACCUCAGAAAUUAAGACAGAGACUUUAAAAUGCAAGCUUAUGGAGUAAUUUAAGCACUGAAACUAAUAACAGUGAUGCAAAAAAAGGUGCAGAAGUACGGUAUUAGCAAUUGACCUCUGCUUUUGCUUGGACAAAGGUUUUCAUCACAAGGGACUCAUUAGUUGCCCUUGCCUCACACGAUUGGAUGCUAAGGGGAAAAAGGAAGCUUCUAACGGCAUUCACAGAGAACCUAUAAAACUAAAAAAAAAAAAAAUCAUCCAUGAAAAGGCUACUAACAAAAAAACUAACUCUUUUAUCUGCCACUGACCUAAUCCGCACUCAUUUAAUUAAAAAAGAAUUAAAAGCAAAACUAAAAGAUACAAAUUGCGUACAAGUCUAGGAGCCAUAUCAAAGGCGUUAUAUAACUUUUCCAAUUAAUAAAUUCUCUUAAGGGCCAUACCGUGCUCAUCAUUUCAAAAGCAAUUAAGGAUAAGAACUUUCAUCAUUAAUUGAUAUGGCCAGUGUAGAAAAAAUGAAAAAGCCCUCCAAGAUCAAAGCACAAGGAUCAGUUUAGAAUUACACUUUUUAAAUUUUGGUUAAUAAAUAAACGUUUAUAUGAAAAUAGAAAAUCUUUUUGGAAUAACCUUUUUUUUUCUUUUUUUAAUGAAUGUGGAUAUAAAAUUUUAAAAUCGCCAAACCGAAAAGAAAAACAGGGGAAUGAAAAGAGAGCCCACGUUUCUCCUCUCUUUUGUUUUUAUUGUUAUCAAACAGGGGAAUGAAAAGAGUGCUCUGUUUCUCCCCUGUUUUGAUUUUUUUAUUACUAAACAGGGGAAUGAAGAGAUCAGCUCUUGUCGCAAGCGCAAAUUUUUGUUUCUAAAUGCAGUUGGUUGUAACUAUAUUCGCAGUCCCUAGUACUUAGAAGUAAAGGCUCUUGGAAUUUCUAUUGUAGUACAUGAGAUGUUUCCCGUUCAAAUAGCUCGCCCGAUACCAUUAGCAUGUUCAUCUCUCUAUAGAUUGAUGUUGACAUAGAUGUUAUUCUACUUUUGCUAGUGGAGUUUUGGGCCUUGUCGUAAUUGGUGGAAUUACGACAUCGGUGGCUGACAUGGCUUUCCUUGUACAGGUAUGUAUGAUUGUUUUUUUUGCACGUCUAAAUGGCACUGUUGAAAAGCUUAAAAUUGAACUGAUAAUUUUGUUUGGAAGCUCAGAAAAUUCAUGAGAAAGUGAAAUAGAAUAUUCUGGAUUUCUUUUCUUUCCAUAACAUACAAAUGACAAACGUAGCAGUAUUUAUACUCGUUGCUUACAUCAUAAAAACAGAAUUAAAGCAAGUUAUACAACUAUAACAUAAUAAAAACCGUGCUUAACUAAUUGGCUGAGCUAGCAUAUACUUCUUUAACUAACACAUGCUUAUCGUGCAGCUACUCUUUAGUUCACACGUGCUCAGUGUGCUUCCUUAACAGACACAAGGGAAAAGACAUGAUUUUGAGAUAUAACGCUUGAAUGUUCUCGGAAUGGCAUAACGCUUUGUGUGUCUCGGACCUGUUAAGAAUAACAUAUGCUGAGUCAGCUGCUGAGUCAUCAAGCCACGCUGGAAGUUAGUUUUGCAGUUAGUUAGAGAGCUUAUCAGCUUCCCUCCAAAAGUUUGUUAUGUGUAUUAGAAUCUGGGCUCACGAGUUUUGUGAGAUUGUAACCUUAAGAAGAUUCUCACACUACUAUAAAUUGUAUUGUGACUCAAUUAAUAAAAUAAGUUGAAGCUUUGCAUUUUCUCUCAGUCAAAAUUUUCUCUCUGUUUUUCUAACCAAACAAGAUCUACAGAGCAUCUUGUAUUUUAACUUGGUAUCAGAGCUUGAAUCCAAUGGCCUUAAUCGGUUCCAAUCAACAGUCAAGCAACACUUCCAUAACUUCUUUCACCUUCACAAAUCCAAUUAAGCUUGAUCGUGCAAACUAUACGAUCUGGAAACAAUAAGUACUUUCUUCAAUUCGUGGCAAUGGUCUUGAAGGCUAUAUUGAUGGAUCAAGGAUCUGUCCUAGUCAAUUUCUUUCUCCAGAGGCUAGAUCUGAAGGUUCUUCUUCUUCUAACAUCGAAGGUCAAGAGAAUCCAGAGUAUGCAGCCUGGAGACGUCAAGAUUAGCUCCUGCUCAGCUGGAUUCUGUCGUCCAUGAAUGUAGAUAUUCUCAGUCUUGUGGUAAGCUCUAAGACUUCUUUUGAGUUGUGGAAAAAUCUAGAAAAAUAAUUUGGAUCUGAAUCUAUGGCUAAGAAGGUUCAUCUAAAAAUGCUUUUGAGUAACCUGCGAAAAGGAUCUCUAACCAUGUCUGAGUAUUUUACAAAGCUUAAGUCAGUUACAGAUGGUCUUGCUUUAGUUGGUAGCCCUGUGCAUGAUUCGGAUUUAGUCACUCAUCUUAUUACUAGUCUAGAUCAGUCAUAUUAUCCUGUAGUAGUCUAUAUUGAGGCAAACAUGUUGAAAAUGGAUCUUAGUGAGGCUUAUGCUAUGCUUCUCACACAUGAAGCUAGACUUGAGAAUAAUAAGCUUCAUGAUAGUAAGGAAACCAAGAACAAUUAUGCAGCAAAUGUAGCUCAGGCUGGAAAUUUUUCAAAGAAAGGUAAUAACAAUAAUCAAAACAACUGGAAGGCUGGAGGAAACAAUUGGAAUAAUAACUCUGGUGGAAGAGGUGGUUUUGGUGGUAAUGGAAGAGGUGGUUACCAAGGGUUCAAUCCAGGAAGAGGAAACUAGAAUAAUAAUAAUUUCAGAGGUGUUGCUGGUGGAUUUAAUAGUGGAUUUCCUGGUCCCGGUGGCUUCAAUAACAAUUAUGGCAGAGGUGGUUUCAACUCAGGAGGUGCUGGAAAGAAUUUUGCUCAGGGAACUGGUGCUGCUUGUCAGAUAUGCUUCAGGUUUAAUCACACAGCAGCUGAUUGCAGAGACAGGUUCAACCGAAAUUUUAUCCCAAAUUUUCCAGCUCCAGCUCCAAAUCACUUCUGUAAUCAGCAUCAAGGACCAAGAGCAGUCUUCAUAACAACAUCUGAAGGAGCUGCUGAUCAGGGAUGGUUUCUGGAUAGUGGUGCAACUCACCACUUAACCAACACAGUUCAGAAUCUGAGUGAUGGUAAAAUCUAUUUUGGCUCAAACUUACUUACUGUUGGUAAUGGCCAAGGUCUUAGAAUUACUCACAUAGGUUAUACACAACUUCACACUUCUUUUGGCACCUGUUUACAACUACAUAAUAUUUUGUGUGUCCCUCAAAUUACCAAGAACCUCAUUAGUAUUUCCAAACUCCUCACUGAUAAUGAUAUAACCAUUGAAUUUUUCUCUGAUGUUUGCUUUCUAAAGGACAAGGUGAAGGGCACUCUGUUGGCUCAGGGGAUAGCCUAUACAAGCUACUAUCAAAAGAGGAAUCUCUCUCUUCUUCCACUUCUGUUCUGCCAGUGUCUCAUCCUAGUUCUAUGAUGUCAACUCUUUCCUGCAAUAAUGUAGUUACUUCUGUUCAAAGUUCAAAUAAUGACUUCUGUUUUAAGUCUACAUUUCCUGUAAGCUUUCAAACUUCAAGUUAUGUGUCAGCAAAUAUGUUGCACAAUAGACUUGGUCAUCCAAGUAAACAUGUCAUACAAACUAUUCUCAGAAACAAUUGUUUAAUGUCAGCCAAUGUUAGUAAAUCAAAUUUUCUUUUCUGUGAUGCCUGUCAAUUGGGAAAGUUACAUCAAUUACACUUUCCUGCUACUGAAAUCAAAACAAAAAACCCCUUAGAAUUAAUACACACAGACUUAUGAGGACCAGCACCAGUUUUAUCACUAGAUGGCUAUAGAUACUAUAUUUCCUUUGUUGAUGACUUCACCCGAUAUUGUUGGAUCUUUCCUUUAGUUUUAAAAUCUGAUGCUCUUACUACUUUCAAAAACUUCAAGAGCUUAGUUGAGAAACAAUUCAGUCUGCCUAUCAAAAUUCUGCGGUCUGAUAUGGGAGGUGAAUUCAAAGCUUUUCAGUCCUUUCUUCAACAAGAAGGUAUCCAAGCUAGAUUUAGUUGUCCCUAUACUCACCAUCAAAAUGGUGUUGUUGAGAGAAAAUAUAGACACUUAGUAGAAACUGGAUUAACACUCCUUACUCAAGUAAAAAUGCCUAUUUCUUUCUCGUGGGAGGCUUUCCAUACAGCCUCCUAUCUCAUUAAUAGAAUGCCUACCACUACACUGAACAACUUAUCUCCCUAUCAAAAGCUUCAUAAUCAGCCACCAAACUAUCAACUUCUCAGAGUUUUUGGUUGUGCUUCCUAUCCUUUUCUCAAGCCUUAUAAUGAUCACAAGCUUGAUUUUCAUUCCCAAAAAUGCUUGUUCUUAGGUUACAGCCCUCUUCAGAAAGGAUAUAGGUGUCUAACAAAGUCAGGUAAAGUAUAUGUUGCUACUCAUAUUGUUUUUAAUGAAUCUGAUUUUCCCUAUUCAGAGUUGUUCUCUUCAUCUGAGUCUUCUUCCAAUUCUCUAUCAUCAUACUCUCCAUCUAUUUGUAUCCUUAAUGACAGUGGCUUGCAUCAAUCAUCAGCUACAUCUCCUACUUCAGCAAAGUUACCAACUAUACAUUCACCUCAACAUCCUCACCAAGCCCCACACUCUCCUUGUCCCUCUCCAGUCUCAGAUUCCUACAGCUAAUCAUCACCACAUUCUUCAUCACAUAAUGCUUUAGCCAAUCCCUCUGAUGAAUUACAACCAUCAUCUCAACCUGUCAUUUCAACUCAUCAGAUGGUCACUCGAGCCAAAUCUGGUAUUUUUAAACCAAAGACCUACCUUACAGCUACCCAAGACCUUGAACCAGUGAGUGUUAAAGCAACCCUAAUUGAUACAAAGUGGAAAAUGGCUAUGCAAGAAGAGUAUAAUGCCUUGCAGAAGAAUGGCACCUGGACAUUAGUUCCAGCUGAAACAGCUACAAAACUUGUUGGCAAUAAGUGGGUUUUUCGAGUUAAAUAUAACCCAGAUGGCAGCAUUUCCAAGUAUAAGGCUCGGUUGGAUGCAAAAGGUUUUCAUCAAACCUAUGGAGUAGAUUUCUUUGAAACUUUUAGUCCAGUUGUUAAACCCUGCACUGUUCGUAUUGUUCUCAGCUUAGCAGUCAUGCAUUGUUGGCCAGUUCGGCAAUUAGAUGUUAACAAUGCCUUUCUUAAUGGCAUGCUUACUGAAGAUGUGUUUAUGCCUCAGCUAGAAGGCUUUAUCAGCUCUCAGUUUCUCAAUCAUGUCUGCAAAUUACAAAAAGCCCUUUAUGGUCUUAAACAGGCUCCAAGGGCUUGGUAUGAUAGAUUGAAAGGGUCUUUAGUUCAGUGGGGUUUCAAAUCUUCAAAGUCAGAUACUUCACUGUUUUUCAAGCAUAUUGGCAAUAAUGUUCUCAUCAUCCUUGUUUAUGUAGAUGAUAUCCUGAUAACAGGCUCUAGUGAUGUUUAUAUUUAAGAGGUUAUCAGUCUACUUAGCUCAGAAUUUGCACUUAAAGAUUUAGGAGAUUUUAACUACUUUCUUGGGGUAGAAGUGACUCCAUCUGCUGAAGGAUUACAUCUAUCUCAAACUAAGUAUGUUGGUGACAUCUUAAGAAAAGCUCAUAUGCUUGAGAGUAAAGGUUGUAAUACACCUAUCAGUGUUGCUGAUAAAUUGCAGAAGGACAAAGGCUGCUCAUUUACAAAUCCCUCACUUUACAGAAGCAUCAUUGGUUCUCUGCAGUAUCUGACACUGACCAGACCAGAUAUUGCAUUCACUGUAAACAAAUUGAGUCAGUUUUUAGCUGCUCCAACUAUCUUGCAUUGGCAGGCUUGCAAGAGGGUAUUACGAUAUCUACAAAGCACAUCACAUUUUAGACUGCAAUUCUUCAAGUCAGGUUCUCCAAGUCUCAUAGCAUAUUCUGAUGCAGAUUGGGGGUCUGAUCCAGAUGAUAGAAGAUCUGUUGGAGGGUAUUGUGUUUAUCUUGGAUCCAAUCUUGUGUCUUGGUCAUGUAAGAAACAGAACAUUGUUUCCAGGUCAUCUGUUGAAUCUGAGUAUAGAGCAUGGCCUUAGCUACAUCUGAGGUUUUGUGGAUUACAUAUCUAUUAAAAAAGCUCAAAGUAUCACUUCCCAAACCUCUUGUUCUUUACUGUGACAACAGCAGUGCAGAAGCUUUGGCUAGCAAUCCUAAGUAUCAUUCCAGAACUAAACAUAUAGAACUGGAUUUACAUUUUUUCAGAGAACACAUUGCCAACAAGGAUCUCUUCAUUGAACAUGUGUCUAGUUCUGAUAAGCUAGCUGAUGUGCUUACCAAACCUCUGAGUUUUGAUCAUUUUGCCUAUAUGCAAACUAAGGUCAAUGUCUGCCCAUGACCUUGAGCUUACGGGGGCAUUUUAAGAAUAACAUAUGCUGAGUCAUCAAGCCAUGCUGGAAGUCAGUUUUGCAGUUAGUUAGAGAGCUUAUCAGCUUCCCUCCAAAAGUUUGUUAUGUGUAUUAGAAUCUGGGCUCACGAGUUUUGUGAGAUUGUAACCUUGAGAAGAUUCUCACACUACUAUAAAUUGUAUUGUGACUCAAUUAAUAAAAUAAGUUGAAGCUUUGCAUUUUCUCUCAGUCAAAAUUUUCUCUCUAUUUUUCUAAGUAACCAAACAAGAUCUACAGAGCAUUUUGUAUUUUAACUGGAGCGGCUGAUUGGUGCUGUACGUGUUACAUUUUUACUUUUUUAACUCAAGUCUGCUGUUGUCCCAAAGUUGGAACUAGAGAUAUCAUUUCACCUCAACUGUGUUUUUUUUUUAAUUAAAAAAAUCAUUUGUUUUAGGUAUACAUACAUGUAUUUUAAUUCUAUUUUCCUUGUAAUUUCUCCUUUACUUUGAAUGAAAGUCAUUGGUGUUUUCGAAUGGGAAUUUUGCAUUAAAAAAUUAAGAAUAGUUAAUAGGAAAUUUCCUGAUUCUUUAGUUACUAUUUUUGGUAUGAGUGUAAUUAGUAGUAAAGUUGGUUUCUACUCGCAAACAAGUGAACUGCUCGAUUCCCAAGUGCUAUUAACCAGUUUCCAACUUUUUAAUAUACACUAAUUGUUCCUGUUUAAUAGCUACUACUAUUAAAACUCAACAGCUAACAAAAAUACUAAAAAAAAUGAUUUUUUCUUAUGAUGCUGUGAAAAAAAUUACGGGUUUACUUAUUUCCACGAGAUCUUGUAUAGUGUUCUUGUAUAGUGGAAUUAAGAUUGUCUUCCCGAUGGUGCAAUUCACCCUCUUCCUUUACAGUCACUUGCACUUUGUGCAGCUUUGGUGUGGAUAAGAUUCCCAGGGAAAAAGUCUUCAUGUUCGGACAAUGUGUCACAAAUACUCGUUCCAAUGAUGGGAAUUCAAGAGGGUAAUUCUCCAAACAAAAGCUGGUAAGCCUUGGUAAAUACGACUCUCCUUCACUUCUUCUCCAGCAUGUCCUACGAUUUCUUCUAAUUUUUUGCAGUUCCAUACAUAAAGAUUCACCAGACUAGUAGGAAUUCCAACCUGAAAAUAAGCAGAGUGUGUGUGUGUGUGUGUAUAUAUAUAUAUUAAAAAAGUAAAUAUGUAAGAGUAUCAUUCAACUAGGCUCAAAGAAUGUUUAAUCAUACAAUUAUACGUUUUAUGAACAUAACAAACUGUGAAAUAUCUACUAGAUAUUUUUUGUUAAACAAAAAAGGUAACAAGAUAAAUAAAUAAAUAAAAGCCAGAUAAACAAAGAUGAUAAAAAUGUAUUUACACUAUUUAGUAUUAGGGACGUAGAAAGAAUUUAUGGCAAUUUCUAAAUAUUUUGGACUUAUUUUGCAUCUUGAUAUAAGUUUUUAAGCAUAAAUUUGCAAAUUUCAACUAUUCCUUUAAAAAAAAAACUCAACUAAAAUGCCUCUUUUUCCCUUUUCCUUGGUCCCUAUUUUUUAUGUAUAUAUAAAAAUGGAAAAAAAAAUUUUGGAAAAGACUUCCCAGUACUGUCAACAAGGGAUUGCUGUAAAGUGGAUCUUUAUUAAGUACUUCCAGACUCGAGGAAAUUUCUUUACAAUCAAGGGUCAGUUGUAAACAAUCAUGAAUUUGUGGUUAAUUAAUGGCAUAAUCAAUUCUUAACUAAACUGGAGAUAUUAAUUAAAUUUGAAGACUUUUUUUUUUUCCAAUCGAAAUGUGAAGAAUUAAGGAAAAGAGAAAUAUAUAGAUGAAUUUGUGAACCUAUAAGAUGAGUGACUAUCCUUUAAUUUUUGAAAAUUGUACUUAUUAAGACAUGAGCAGAAACAAUUAAAUUGAAUUAUAUUAUGCUGUUGAAUCGUGAUUAAAAAAAUUAUAUUGUUGAUUCUAAUGCUGGCGAACCUAAAAACUGGACUUAAAACGUAGAUUUCAGAGUGGUGGUUUGAAGUACAAUACUUGAAAUAAAUAAUCAGUGGCUAAAUAUCAUUUGUAAACCCAAAAAUGGUUAAAAUAUUGUUGAAUGUUAUUUGAAAAAAAAAAAAAAGAGAUUCAAAAUGAAUAUUCUUACCAAUGGAGGAAAAAUAUUCUUUAGGUUAUCACACCAAGAUAUCUCCAAAUUCUUCAAUUUGCUGAAAGACUCCGAAGCAAGCUGGUGGUGCCAUAUUUUUCUCAAAUUAUCCAUCCAGUCAAUACGUAAUACCUCCAACCUAGGAAGUCGUACCUGACAGUUAAAGAUUAAAUAACUAAUUAAUCAAUUAAUGGCAUAAUCAAUUGAUAAAUAAAUUAGAGGCGGAUAUUAACUAAAUUUGAAGACUCAAGGAAAAGACAAAUUAAAUAUUGUGACUAAAAUAAAUUUAAAAAAAAAAAAAACCUUUUCGUCAAAGAGAGGAGGUUGCAUUUCAGAAUGAAUGGUGUCUUCUGGUGAGCUCGUGGAGAUGAAUCUUAACAUAUUCCAGCAACUCUGAAUCUCGAGGUUUAGCAAAGAAGGGAAUUCAACAACUAAAUCUGAAUGAAUAUGUCCCGUAUUGGCAAAGCUUGUUAGUUCUGGAAGCCAAUAGAGCCGCAGGAAGUGUAGUUUAGGAAAUACCUUUAAUUCAAUCAACUUUCCUUCAUCUCUUUCUGACCAUCCCGUGGUGUCGACUACCCCUUCCAUUGACUCACAAUAGCUUAUCUCAAGAUGUUGGAGCUGCAAAAGGCUAUUAACCAUAGAAUAUGAAAACAGAUACUUCAUACGAUGACAACCGACCACGUGCAGCUUUGUUAGAUUUUGACAACAGUACAUUCCUUGAUUAUGAUCGGCCCAUAAUUUUUUCAUGUUUCUCAAGUCCCUGAGAUUCAAUUCCUCUAAGCUCGGAAGAAUAACCUGCAAAGAAAACCCGUACAUUUUUGUUCCUUCAAGUACAACCGUCUAGUAUAAUAUUCUUUUGAUGAUCGAAGAUUAAUCGUGAUAAUAAAUUAAUCAAUUAAUUAUUGAACAGAAAAUUAUCACCUUUGGAGCAGGAUCAUCAUCAGAAAUGAUUUCGUUGAAUCCCAAAGAAGUUGUUGGUUUGUCCAUGUCGGGUCCUAUAAACAAACAAAAACAAUAUACAUAAUUAAUCUUUGUCGUUGUCUUUUUUUUUCAAAAUAAUUGAGGCGAAGUCCAUAAAUCCACCAACACUUAAUUUCAACACUUACCAACAAUCAUUUCCAGAUCAUCGCAAAAAAACACUUCUACCUUUUGAAGCCACAGUAGGUUUUUGGCCAUGGAGAAUGAGAAAAGAUGCUUCAAUUCGUGACAGUCUGAUACUUUUAUAAUCCUUAAGUUGCUGAAAGAUUGAUCUUCUGUGAGUUGGCUGUCACAUAUUGUCUCCAAAUUUAUCAAACGACGAAGAGACAAUGACUCCAGCAAGGGGAAGACUUUGCGACGAACCCGUCCAACUGAACAGACAAUAUGCAAAAUCUCAGACCAACUUUUUACAGCAAGGUGCUUCAAUCGUGGAAAACCUUCCCCAUCAUCUAAUUCAUGAACAACAUUCUGAACACCCUUCAGUUCUUCUAGAUAGAGAUAUUCAGUUCUCUUCAACAACAGUUUCAUCCUGUAAUUCUGCAAAAGAAUGCCAAACUUUUCCAGCCUCUGGAGCUUCAUCAAUCUUGAUAAUCCAGAUUUAACGGACCAGCUGCUCCCCCACUUAUUUCCUAUACAUAUCCUAUAGGUAGAAGUGUUCUAGCUAUUAAUUUUAUACAUAUCUUCUAUAGGUGUAUUCUAAUUAAUUUCAUACAUCAGAUUUUUAGAUAAAAAUAAAGAAGUAAAAAAAAAAAAUCUUCACAUCAUCUUAAGAAAUUCAAAGCCAUGAUACCACAUCCAAUCACGAGAAUCCAUUUUCCUAUGAUCACUGACCUUUAGGUGCGGUGCUUGGUUUGAAGAAGGGAAAGGGGGUGAGGAAAGUAAUUUGAAUUCCUUUCUUAUUUCCGUUGUUUGGUCGGUCAUAAUAUAAAAGAAUUUAAUUUUCAUUAAAAUUUAAUAUAAUCAUAAUGUGGAAUUUAGAUUUCUCAAUAAAGAGUGAUGAAUCUUGGUUUGGGUCUGUUUUGAGUUUAUUUUCAUUUAUUUGGCUAUGUUUUGAUAGCGAAUUUUGAUAUGUCAAUAUAACGUGUAAUUGUUUUGGGUUGAGCUGGUAAUUAUGCUGGAUUAGAUUGGUUUGGUUUUGGUGCUUCUCUGAUGGAACACUGUUUUUUUUAGAAAUUUUGAAUGUAAUAUGAGACUACAUUUAGUUUAAUUGAACACUGCAUCUAGUCUAAUUACUAGAAGUGCGGCAUUUGGUUUGGUUUAUCCUAUAUUCUCCAGAAUUUCACUUGCAUCUGGUUUUGUUGCAUAUGUUUGCUUGCAUUUGAUGGCAGUAGCAGACUGUUUGGUUUUGUGACAUUUGAUGGCAGUUUGGUCUGUUCUUGGUGUUGGUUUAAGAUUGUUCCUGUUGUGCUGAUGUUAAUUGCAGGUGCUUGAAUCAGCUAGGGUUGCUGGUUUAUUCAGAUGGUUGACUCAGGCGUUGUUACUGGUUAAUUCAGGUGGCUGACUCAAGUUGUUCAUUUAAUGUUAGGAAGCAAAUUAAGAAUUAAUGAAGUAUUCAUUAAACUAUAAUUAUUGUAGUUAUUUUAUUUCAUAACUGAAUUAUAAUCUAUGAUACUUGUGAACAAAUUAGAGAAUUUUUAUAUAUGAAUUAUAUAUAUGUGUAUGUACAUUUUGCUAAUAAUUUAAAGAAUAUAUUUCAAUUCCCACAAAAAAAUGGCUCCAAUUUCAAUAAUUCCCGCCAAAUAAUUAAAUUUUUUUAAUUUACCACCAAAAUAUAUCUUAAAGAAAUUUUAGUUAUUCUUGCUAGAUUUAACAAAAAUGAUUUGUAGGAUUAACAUUUAAUUAAAAUAAUUAAAUAAUUUUAUUAUUCCAAUUAAAUAUGUCAUGUUUAUACGACAGACAAUAUUCAUGAAUGGGAAGUAUUAGUUACGUAUUUUUCCUUGGGAUUUCAGGCAAAUGAAAAAAAGAUUGAGAAUGAUUUCAAGAGGACAGGUGGAUGAUAAGUAUUCAUUUUUGUAUAUUUGUCUAAUGUCCUCAUUAGUGGAUUUUUAUGGUAUUGAUCUUUUUUUUUUUUUUUUUAAUUUUCAAUUAGUUGCAGCCCUAGAGGAAGAGCAGGCUGAUCAAAUUGAUUUGUCUUGUUUUUCGGGCAAUCUACGACAUGAUGACCGUGAUAAUGCUCGUGACUGCUGGAAACUUUCUGAUGGAAAUAACUUUAGAGUUCGUAGCAAGCAUUUUUGUUAUGACAAAACAAAGGUUCCCCCAUAAUUUGUUUGUUUGUUAUGGUAUUUAUAUAUCCUGCAUAGGCUAGGUAGACAAGUUAUGAUGUACGUGUUUCUCAUAUAGAACUCAAGUCUGCUGUUGUCCCAAAGUUGGAACCAGAGAUAUCAUGACUCUGGUUUCAUUUCACCUCAACUGUGUUUUUUUUUUUAAUUAAAAAAAUAUUUGUUUUAGGUAUACAUACAUGUAUUUUGAUUCUAUUUUCAUUGUAAUUUCUCAUUUACUUUGAAUGAAAGUCAUUGGUGUUUUCGAAUGGGAAUUUUGCAUUAAAAAAUGAAGAAUAGUGAAUAGGAAAUUUCUUGAUUCUUUAGUUACUAUUUUUGGUACGAGUGCCAUUAGUAGUAAAGUUGGUUUCUACUCGCAAACAAGUGAACUGCUCGAUUCCCGAGUGGUAUCAACCGGUUUCCAACUUUUUAAUAUACACUAAUUGUUAUUGUUUAAUAGCUACUACUAUUAAAACUCAACAGCUAACAAAAAUACUUAAAAAAAAUGAUUUUUCUUAUGAUGCUGUGAAAAAAAUUACGGGUUUACUUCUUUCCACGAGAUCUAUAACAUGGUCUUGAUUUCACGAAAUUCUUUUAAUUUAAAGCGUGCUGGUGUGAGAAGGUCAGUUUGACUGAUUAAUUCUUUUUAACAGUGGUCGAGAUAAUUUUACUAUACUCGAAAAUAUUCUUAUUCUGAUAAAGCCAUAAAUGUUAUGCUGUUUUCUUCGGCUAAUGAUCUUCUAUCAGGAGAGGUUAGAAAUCAAAUGCUUAAAAGACCAAUUGAACGAAUAAUACAGAAAUUUAGGCAGAAUCUAAUCGAAUAUUGUAUGAAACAUGAAACAUCAAUUCAAGUCCUUUCUUAAACAAAGAAUGCAUCAAACAAAAUCCAAAGUGUCUUGCAAGUUUGUAGCAUGAGCAAAAAAUUGUAAAUAUGUAGAACCAAAUUAUUCAAGUACAGAAGAACGAGCAAGCUAAAUCAUGUAUAAGAGAUUGGCCUGGUUCAGGAUAGCUUCUUCACUGUAGCUGAAGGGUUGGCUCAAUCUCUUCUUUAGAAUUCUGCAGAUUUUGUAAUUACUCGUGUAAGCAAGCAUACAUUGCCACCAUAAGAAUAAUAAAGCAAGAGUAAUGAUAUGACCACCACCUCUUGUGCACAAACAAUAUUGUAUAAACUAAUGCGACAUAAUAUGAUUGGUUAAAUAAAAACAUUACAUGGCCCUCAUAAUUUAUUUAUUUAUUUAUUAUUAUUAUUAUAUAUUUUCAAUCAACCAAUCAUAUUAUAUCACAUUAGUUUCUAUAAAAUAAUUUGCUAAAUAGCACCGAAACUUAAUUGAUACUCACCAUUUCAUUGAACAAUUUUUUUAUGGUGUCAUUGAGGUUGCCUUCCCAACAUCCUUCAUCAUCAUCAUCUUCUUCAUCAUCAUCAUCUUCUUCUUCAUCAUCUUCAUCAUCAUCAUCUUUUUCUUCUUCGGUGACGUUCACUUUGUUUAGCAUUGGUGUGUCUAAGACUCCUUGAGAGAAGAUCUUCAUUUUUGGACACUGUCUCACAACUACUUGUUCCAAGGAUGGGAACUCAAGAGCGUAAUUACCCAAACAAAAGCUUGUUAGGCUUGGCAAACAAUCAAGUCCCAAGUACUCCAAUUUCCUGAAAACAAUGCAAUCGUCCGCUUCUUCUCCAACCUGCGACUGUAUAAUUUCUUCCAUCAUUUUGCAAUCAGUUAUCUUCAUUCUUUCAAGAUUCACUAGACUUUCAGAUGUUGAGAGCGUCAAUAAAUUUAUCAACCCAUGACACUUCGAUACUUCCAGAGUCGCAAGAUUUUCCAAAUGCCACGAAGCUGGUACUAAUUUCUGCAACUUACUACAUUCAAAUAUUUCUAGACUUUUCAAGUUUGCAAACACUUUGUUGGAUUUGGCAUUUUCCUUCCAGAGAUGCUGCACUUUGUGUAAUCCAGAUAGCUUUAACUUCAUCAAUUGAGGGAAUGCAACCUGGAAAUCAACAAAAUUAAGUUGUAAAUGAAAAUAUGUAUCCAAUCUCUGCAGUCUUCCCCUGCAUAUUUUAUGGACAAGAUUAAUCACGGCAUUUUAUAUUUUAUUUCCAAAUUAGUAUGCUUUGCAGUAGGAUCCCAAAUAUAAGUAUCAAAUCGAUUACCCUUUGAAACACAUAAAUGAAAUCUGAUCCUAAAUCCAAUAUGAAUUAGCUAGGAAAACAGAGACCUAACACGCAUAAUCGAUAUAGUUCAUCACCUCCUGUCACUAGGCAUCUAAUUAAUUUGAGACAUUUUUUUAAUUCAUACUAUAAAGUUAGUUAAUAACUACGGUUAUAUUGUUAAACAUGUAUAAAUUAAGACGACGUGCAAAAAGAUGAGUCAUUAAAUUUGAUUUGAUUCUAAUGAAAUUAUAUCUGUGUGAAUGAAAGUGAAGGGAAAAAUAAUAAUAAUGUUACCUUUUCAUCGAAGAGAUGUUGUAUUUGAUUAGCUACCAAGAGGUUCUCUUCUUAUUUUAAUUUUUGAGCUUCCUUAUUAUCUGUUGUCAUGUGCAGUACAGAUGUAGAAUUGGACAUGAAUGUUUCCAUAUCAGGGCAAUUCUCAAUAGUUAGAUAUCUCAACUCAGGCAGUUCAAUUAUAUUCCCAGUGAAGUUGCAGAAUCUUUUGAGUUUUGGAAGGUCAAUGAGCCUUAGCUCAAAAAGCCUAGGAAACAGGGGGCCUAUAUGUUCUUCCUUGGCAUUUAGCUCUUCCAAAUGAAGCACCUCUUCUAGUGAAUCACAAUUCCUCACUUCCAGCCAUCUCAAAUUGUUCAAGCACCGUAUCAGAUUGGCAGGAAUAGCACUCGACAUAUUCGUGCGGUCAUCCACCACCAGGUGUCUUAAAUUGUUGAAGAAGCUGACAGGCAGUGCUUGGCCAUGCGAGAGUUGCAAAUGGUUUAUAUCAAGGAAUCCAAUCUGCACAAACCAAAACAAUUGCACUGGAUAUAUACAAUUUUUUCUUUCUGAAAGGCAUAGAUAUAUGUACAUUAAACUUACAUGUUUUCUGCUUUAACUUCUAAAAAUAUAUAUACAAGGCAGGUGUAUAUGCUUAAAUGUGCAAGUGCAGGGGAGAUGCAUGAACAAUUUGGGUGAAUCGAUUAACACAUACCAUCUUUUUGUAACAUAUGUUUAAAUGUGCAAGCGCAAGGGAGAUGCAUAAGCAACUUGGAUGAAUCGAUUAGCACAUACCAUUUCUUCGUAACACUUUUGUAUAGUGGAAUUAAGCUUGUUGCCUUCCCAAUGGUGCAGUUCACCCUCUUCCUUUUCAGUCACUUGCACUUUGCAUGGCUUUGUAAUGGAUAAGAUUCCCUGAGAAAAAGUCUUCAUGUCCGGACAACGUAUCAUAGAAACUCGUUCCAAUGAUGGGAAUUCAAGAGUGCAAUUCUCCAAACAAAAGCUGGUAAGCCUUGGUAAAUCAUCAAGUAUCAAAACUUUUAAUUCGCUGAAAGCAAUACGAUUCUCCUUCACUUCUUCUCCAACAUGUCCUACGAUUUCUUCUAAUUUUUGGCAAUCUGAUACUUAAAGAUUCACCAGACUACUAGGAAUUCCAACCUGAAAAUAAGCAAAAGUGUGUGUGUAAGAGUAUCAUUCAACUAGGUCCAAAGUAUGUUUAAAACAUACAAUUAUAUGUUAACAUAACAAACCAUGAAAUGUCUACUAGAUAAUUUUUGUUAAACAAAAAAGGCAACAAGAUAAAUAAAUAAAUAAAAGCCAGAUAAACAAAGACAAUAAAAAUGCAUUUACACUAUUUAGUAUUAGGAGCGUAGAAAGAAUUUAAGGCAAUUUCUAAAUAUUUUAGACUUAUUUUGCAUCUUGAUGCCAGUUUUUAAACAAAAUUUGCAAAUUUCAACUAUUCCUUCUGGGAAAAAAAAAAAUCAACCACCAACAAAGUGUUGGCUCCAUUGGCAAUGGAGUCCCCUUAAGUGGUUUGACUGGGUUUGCUCCCCAGUUCGAGUCGCAGGGAAGUCGCCUUUGUUGGGAGAACUUGUGCCUCCCGGUUCGAGCGGGGACUUCUAGUCUGGGUUGUGGUACGGGCUUAAAGGUGCCUUCCACAGUUGGGGCCCUCCCCAGGAUACCUCGUGAUUAAUAUAAAAAAAAAAAAAAAAUCAACCAAAAUGCCGCUUUUUCCCUUUUUCCCUUUUUCCUUGGUCCCUUUUUUUUAUGUAUAUUUAAUUUUGGAAACAAAAUUAAAGUGGAUCUUUAUUAAGUACUUCUAGACUCGAGGAAAUUUCUUUACAAUCAAGGAUCAAUUGUAAAUAAUCAUGAAUUUGUGGUUAAUUAAUGGCAUAAUCAGUUCGUAACUAAACAAGAGAUAUUAAUUAAAUUUGAAAACUUUUCUUUUCUUUUUUUCUUUUUCCAAUCGAAAUGUGAAGAAUUAAGGAAAAGAGAAAUAUAUAGAUGAAUUUGUGAACCUAUAAGAUGAGUGACCAUCCUUUAAUUUUUGAAAAUUGUACUUAUUAAGAUAUGAGCAGAAACAAUUAAAUUGAAUUAUAUUAUGCUGUUGAAUCGUGAUUAAAAAAAUUAUAUUGUUGAUUCUAAUGCUGGCGAACCUAAAAACUGGACUUAAAAUGUAGAUUUGAGAGUGGUGGUUCGAAGUACAAUACUUGAAAUAAAUAAUCAGUGGCUGAAUAUCAUUUGUAAACCCAAAAAUGGUUAAAAUAUUGUUGGAUGUAAUUAAAAAAAAAAAGAUUCGAAAUGAAUACAACAACCUUACCAAUGGAGGAAAAAUAUUCUUUAGGUUAUCACACCACCAUAUGUCCAAAUUCUUCAAUUUGCUGAAAGACUCCGAAGCAAGCUGGUGGUGCCAUAUUUUUCUCAAACUAUCCAUCAAGUCAAUACGUAAUACCUCCAACCUAGGAAGUCGUACUUGGCAGUUAAAGAUUAAAUAACUAAUUAAUCAAUUAAUGGCAUAAUCAAUUGAUAACUAAAUUAGAGGCGAAUAUUAACUAAAUUUGAAGACUCAAGGAAAAGACAAAUUAAGUAUUGGGACUAAAAUUAAUUUUUUUUUUAUUUUAAAAAAAACCUUUUCGUCAAUGAGAGGAGGAGGUUGCAUUUCAGAAUGAAUGGUGUCUUCUGGUGAGCUCGUAGAAAUGAAUCUUAACAUAUUACUGCAACUAUCAAUCUUGAGUAUUUGCAAAGAAGGGAAUUCAACAACUAAAUCUGAAUGAAUAUGUCUCGUGUUUGCAAAGCUUGUUAGUUUAAAAAGCCCAUAGAGCUGCAGGGAGUGUAGUUUAGGAAAAACCUUUAAUUCAAUCAACUUUCCUUCAUCUCUUUCUGACCACCCCGUGGUGUCGACUACCCCUUUCAUUGACUCACAAGAUCGUAUUUCAAGAUGUUGGAGUUGCAAAAGACUAUUAACCAUAGAAUACGAAAACAGAUACUUCAAAUGAUCACAACCGUCCACGAUCACCUUUGUUAAAUUUUGACAACAGUACAUUCCUUGAUUAUGAUCGGCCCAUAAUUUUUUCAUGUUUCCUAAAUGAAAGAGAUUCAAUUCCUCUAAGCUCGGAAGAAUAACCUGCAAAGAAAACCCGUACAUUUUUGUUCCUUCAAGUACAACCGUCUAGUAUAAUAUUCUUUUGAUGAUCGAAGAUUAAUCGUGAUAAUAAAUUAAUCAAUUAAUUAUUGAACAGAAAAUUAUCACCUUUGGAGCAGUAUCAUCAUCAGCAAUGAUUUCGUUGAAUCCCAAAGAAGUUGUUGGUUUCUCCCUGUCGGGUCCUAUAAACAAACAAAAACAAUACACAUAAUUAAUCUUUGUCGUUGUUUUUUUUUUCAAAAUAAUUGAGGCGAAGUCCAUAAAUCCACCAACACUUAAUUUCAACACUUACCAACAAUCAUUUCCAGAUCAUCGCAAACAAACACUUCUACCUUUUGAAGCCGCAGUAGGUUUUUUGCCAUGGAGAAUGAGAAAAGAUGCUUCAAUUUGUGACAGGAUUGUACUCCUAUAAUCCUUAAGUUGCUGAAAGAUUGAUCUUCUGUGAGUUGGCUAUCACAUAUUGUCUCCAACUUGUUCAAAAACCAAAGAGACAAUGACUCCAGCAAGGGAAAGACUGUACAAUGAACCCGUCCAACUGAACCGACAAUAAGCAAAAUCUCAGAACAACUUUCUACACGAAGAUGCUUCAAUCGUGGAAAACCUUCCCCAUCAUCUAAUUCAUGAGCAACAUUCUGAACACUCUUCAGUUCGUUUAGAUGGAUCUCUUCAGCUUCUUUCAGCAACAUUUUCGUCCCAUAAUUCUCCAAAAGACUGCUAACAUUUUCUAGCCCAUCGAGCUCCACCAUUCUUGAUGUUUCAGAAUUAACGCCCCACAUGCGCCACGCUUCUCCUAUACAUAUCUUAUAUCUUUGCAAUUCCACAGAGACUAAAUCCUGCGGCAGAAUUUGGGCAUCCCAAAAUUGUAUCUCCAAAGUAGUUAGCUUUGACAGCCCCUUCAAUUCAGCAAGACUGGCGGUACUUCCUCCUUCAACCUUAUCCCACUGCGAAAAGCUGUCACCCAUAUAUAGUUCUUCUAAUUGAGAAAAUUUUGAUAUGAGAUUUGGUGCUAUCACUACAAGGCUCCUACAAUUGCUCAAAUCUAGCAAUUGUAACCGCGUCAAUUGUCCAAUUUCAAGUGGUAACUGCUUAAUGUCGGAAUCUCGAAAGCUAAGAAUCUCUAAUUUCUUUAGCUGUCCAAUUGCAGCUACAUCUUCUAGUUGGCACCAGUCUAAACACAAUGUUUGAAGGUUAAUGAGGCGACCAAGUGAUGAAGGUAAUGAAGAGAAAGGAAUUCUAGUAAGGCUUAAAACUUUGAGUUCUUUCGUCCCUUCAAAAAAGAGGUCUGAAAUUUGCAUACGGCCAUUACCCUCUGCAGACAACAAAAAUAACUGGAGAUUGGGACAUUGCAACCUUUCAGGGAGCUCUUGAAUAUCUCUCUGGGGUAAUGAAAUGGCAAUUGGAUCUUUCCGUAUUGUCUCUUCCAUCUUUUUCUCUAAGUCGGCAACAUUUGGAAUAUUAAACAUGCGCUUCUCUGCGGCAAUUGAUACGGCAACAACAUGAAUGACGUCAUGCAUUUUAGCUUCAUCUUCAGCAUCACCGUCCAACAAUAAGCAUGAAGAUUUGAGGUUGUCGAUCAACCGAUGCACUCUACUCCUUGCUUCUUCCAAUGUGUAAACAUUUUCAAACAAACCCCAACCCACACCAUAUCUCAAUAAGUCAGAAACUUGUAUGGCAUGACCUUCACUGUAUAGACCACAAAGACGGAACAGAGAUUUUGCCUCCUCACUUUCCAAGAAGUCAUGACUCAAUUUUAUGGAGGUGUACACAUUUGCUUGCAUGCCAUGAAUUUCUCUUGCAUCCGAUCUUCUUAGCUGAUUCAAUGCAUCUUUCCAAAAGUCACGCUCCUUAGUUUUCAGAGCAUUUGCAACUGUACUCAGUGCAACAGGCAAACCUCCGCAUCUUUCAAUGAUCUCAUUUGCUAUACUUUGAAAAGCAGAUAUUUUAGUUGAAUCACCCACUAUCUUCUCAAAUAACUGCAAUGCUUCUUCUUUUGAUAAAGCAUCGAUCCAGAAAUUUUUCUGAGAAUUCAUAUCAAUGCACAAUAAAUCUCGACUUCUAGACGUCAAUAUUAUUGUGCAUCUUCUCUGAUCAUCCUCUCUAUCUUUCUCAUCAACAUCUCCAGAAGGAAUUCCAACCGCAUCUAACUCAAGUUUUGUCCAAAUAUUAUCCAAUAUAAUGAGGACCCGCUUCUCUUGCUUCAACCUUUCACGCAGUCGAGAAGCUCUAUGGUGUAUACUAUCAUUCAAGUCAAAUUUCAUGCCUAAAUCAGAAGCGAGCUUGUCUUGAAUUUUCUGGGGAUCUGGGUUCUGUAUUACCUCAGCCAUAACGACCUUAUCGAUCAACUUAUCUUCCAUCACUUUCUUAGCAACUUGCUUGACUAGCGUGGUUUUACCCACGCCGCCCAUGCCGUAGACCCCAAUUAUGUUGAGCUUAUCAUCCUUCAACGCCUCCAUAACAUCCUGAAAUACUUUCAUUCUUGAAUCAAAGGCCUCGUUAUCUUUCCCGUCAUUAAGUCCUGUGCUCUUUGGAGUAGGACGGUAGGAAACAUUAGAGAAGUUGCCUUUUCCCACGAGACCAGCGGCAGCUUCUGCGGCCUUUGCUGCUUGUUUACUAAGCUUGUAACGGGACAUCAAAUUUGGGCACAAUCCUUUGAAGCAGAACUUUUUAGCUCUUUCUUCAUCAUCAAUGAUGGAUUUUGCAACCCCUUCACUGAUGAAUUCAUCAACGCUAUGUAGCCAGUCUGUGACACCCUCAUAAAGCUCAUCCCCUUGUAGCCUAGCAUGAUUAACUGGUUGCUGCACCAUUUCUCUCUUAUAUCCCAGCUGCUUCACUUGAACUUUUAGCUCAUCUAUGUAGCUCUGGUACUUGAACACAUCAGAUAUCUGCCGUGUAAUCGGGUUGAACAGUGACUUUGCACCUUCUGAUACACAGUUGGUUAAAAAAGCCAGACACGCUUCUAUAGCCAUUGCCGGUUGCUUAACAAUAUAUAUCUAGUUUUUGGCUGUUGAAAAAAAAAAUGGAUUCAAAUAAAUUAAAUGAACUAGCGGGGAAGAAAAAGAAAGAAACGACAACAAACAACUUUUUAGAAAAAGGUUUCAGGGGCCUGAAUGGAAAACCAACAAUUUUUUGAGGAAAGAAAACUUUUUUGGAAGAUGGAUGCAAAUUAACCAUUAAUAAUACUGCAUAAGAACACAGAAGUUAACAAUAAACAGUAACUUAAAACUCAAGAAAAUUAAAUGACAAGAUUAAGACAAACAAGAGAUAGUUUUUGUCGGACAUUAAGAAACAACUGCUAUCAAGAUCAAAGAUUAGAAAUUAUGCUAUUGAAAGAAAUUAUUAAAGUAAUUAGAACAAACGCACCUCUUCAAUUAUCUAGGAUCACAGAGUUUAUGAGCUUCACUCUUGGCCUUCGAUUUAUAAGAAAAAUUUUAAUGAGCAAAAGAUCACUGUUGACUGCAGAAGAAUGUGAGUAAGCAAUACAAUUGAAUUGUAAAAGAACAAGACUUAAAGCGUGCACCCCAACAGAACACAUGUUCAUUUUUAACAAAGUGAUCAAUAACUAUAUUCGUUAUUUAAUUGAUAUUGUAACCAAUUCUAAGAGAAUAUAAUAAUCAGCAAACAAACAACAUUGAUCUUAUGCCUACUGAUAUUUAAACAGAGAAUUCUUUCUUCUUUUUCUCUUCAUGGAUUAGAGUUUUUGCUAUUAACAGAAUGGUUUCAAGGGUCUGAAUAAAAUCCCAGACUUUUUUUUAACUUUGUUUUCUGUGGGAAAAUGGAUUCAAAUUAACCAAAGCCAAUAAUAAGAUCACAGACUUUAACAAUGAACAAUAACUUAAGCAAAACCAAUGACAAGAUUAAAACAAACCAGAGAAAUUUUUUCUCGGAAAGUAGAUGAAAAGCAAGUAAGAACUGCUAUUAAAGGAUAUUAUUAAAGGAUUUAGAACAUGUAUACCUCUUUAAUUAUAUGGGAUCAGAGAAUCGAUGACCUCCACUAUUCGCUUCGGAUAUUAAGUAAGAACUGCUAUUAAAAGAAUGAGUUGAUGAGAGUAAUAACAAUGAAUUGCAAAAUAGGAAGACUCAAUCAUGCACCCCUUUUAUACCUGAUCAUAUUAAGAAGUCGUUAAAGAAUAACGACUAAAUUAGGAAUUAAUUCUGAAGUUCAGAAUCAAGAACAGAGACGAAGCUUUAAUAAAGCAUGCAGUGAGAUACAAGAAAUGGAUCUGAUAAAAUACAUUAAAAAAAUUUGUUCAACCUAGUUAAGCUGAUGAAAGCACUAGUUGUUGGCUCUACGUUUCAUAUGUUCUAAUGAAAUAAUUAAGUUGAAGUUUUCAACGAAUAAAUACCUGUUUCGCUUGAAUAGCUUUGGCAUAUACAUUACUUGUGUCCUGUGAAAUUGAAAAGGUUAUUGAUUUACAAAGCUUAUUAGUAGAGAAAAGCUACGUAAGAUGCCUGAUAAAAGAUAAAGCAAGAGCUUGAAUGAAGAAUGACAUUUUAGAAAGAAACUAAAGUGUAAUCAUCAAAGUAGGAUCAAUAAUGUACCACUUUCCUUGCAAAUCUGGUGGGUUUUCUGAAUAGAUUUUUACAUUAUUCUUCUAUUUAACCAUUUUGGCUUUACCCUAAGCAUUCUUGGUUGGCAUUGUCCUGUAAUCUGCGUGCCCUGGAUACGUGAGAGGGAAUGAUGAGGGUAGAUAUGCAAUUUCAAGAAGCGAUUUGCUUGUAUAAUUCAAUGCAUGGAAAGAGAUGUACCUGACCAGAAAAAAAAGGGGACCAUCCAUAUCUGAGCUUGACUUUUUAGAUAGAUAAAUAUUCUUAUUACUGUUGAUAAUGGAGAAGGGUUCUACUUUUACUUUGCCAUCUUUGAUAUAAAACAGCAUGAUUCCUUUUUUUCAAACACUUGCCUAAGUCUAUUUUUUAUUUUUCUUAUUUUCAGAAAGAGAUUAGCUUAAUUUAAAUUAUAUUCAAGUACAAAGUGUUAUACACUCAUAAAACGACAAAUAGGCAUGUAUUGAUCACGCGCAAUCUGUUUUUUUUCCCCCUUUUUUUUUUAAUCCAGUCUUCUUAUUUAAAAAAAAGAAUUUAUUUGCUUUAUUUUAAAUUAUUUUUUCAUGCGGUAAAUGCAAUACUGAGUAAUGGGUGAGCAAAAUAUUUACAGGCACACCCCCUUUUAAUGAUUUCGUACUAAAAUUAAAAAUUGACGAUUCCAUAAUAAAGUUCAAAGAGUAACUGAAGACCCAUAAAUGUUUUUUGGUCAUGAGCAAUUUUUGAGUUGGGACAGCACUCCUAUGAAAAAAAAUAGUUUUUUUUUUCUUUAAGCAUGAGCAUAUUAAUUCUUUUUUUAUAAAUCAACGUGAAUAUAAAAUUAAAAAAUAGUUUUGAAUAACUUCUUUUCUUUUUUCAUAAAUAUAGAUAUAAAAUUUUAAAGUCACCAAACACAAAACCAGGAAAAUGGAAAGGAAGCCCCUGUUUCUCCGCUGCUGCAAGCACAAAUUCGGUUUCUACAGGAGUACCUUCUAAAUGCACCAUUUGUAUUGCUUUGUCUCCACUUGAGCUAAUGGAAUUUGAUGAAGACAAAAUAGAUAUGAGUCGUGCUAUUCACACCCCUCGAUAAUUCUUUCAAAAUCCCUUUUCUAAUUAUACCCCGUUAAUACCCUUGUUCGCUAUGAAAAUAAAGCAAAUGCCUGUAUAAAAAGCUGGCUCUAAUAAUCUACUUGAAUUUACAUCAGAAAAGAGUGGACUUUGAGAAAUAAGAAGUCAAUAUGGAGAAUUUUACCAAAAUAAUCCAUUUUUAUAUACAGGGAAUGGUAUUUUCUGAUAUAGGGAGGAGUGGAGAAAUUAAAUUCAGCAAAAUAAAGAACCUCCAUCGAGAAGCAAAAAUGAUGAUAUCUUUGUCGUGAAGAGAUUUCUGCCUCAUACAAAUUUUUUAUUCUAGAAUGCUUGAAACCGAAAAGUUCUGUAGCUGUUUCAAUUCAAUUGCAUACAUUGACGAAACAUUAAAUACGAAAAAAACAAAAAAGAAAUAAUAGGACAUGGGGAUUUAGAGAACUUCUAAAGAGAGAAAUGUAUUUAUUGUUGGGAAAAUAUGCUCUUUAAAAGCAUAUGUGUUUAUUUAAUUGUAAUAAACUAUUUUUCUGAUUAAUAAAAUAAAUGAGGCAUUUUAUUCAAAUAUCUUAAUUGCAUUAAUACUUGUAUUAAAGUCCAUUUAAUCAUAUUAUAUGUAUUUAUGUGAUCACCAUGUGGAUUCACAGAAGACAUAAAUACAAGUUAUCUUAUGAUUAAAUAAAUUUAGUUCGCAGUUGAUAAAUAAAGUUGGGCACUUUAUUUAGGUAUAGACUGUAAUAAAUUCAUUGAAUGAUUUGUCUUAAUUAUGUAUGAAUUUAUUGAUGUAGUACGACUACAUUGAACAGGAUCACAUAUGAGAUUUAAUUAACUUUGUAAUAACUGUCAGACUUAUUAAAUCUCAUAGGCAUUGAUUUUACUGUAAUCUUAAUCUUGAGUUAAUUAUGAUUUCAUGAUUGUAAUUGUUAUUCCAUUUGAGUUACCAAUGGGCAUGACACAUACUUGUAGUCUACAUUACCCGGUAUCUUGGUGGGAACAAUUAUGAGUAUUGGAGUUAUGGAUUAACAAUAUAGAAUUUGUACAACACAUCUCUUGAUGGGUUUUCGGUACUUGAUCAUAGAAUUCUCUGGCCAGAGUGUGUCAACAUAUUUAGUAUGUUGAAAAUGAUCAUUAGAGAAAACCAGUAAGGAUCAAGGAAUAAGAUGUUAUUAAAUUGAUUGGACAGUUGAGAUAUCAAUUUAAUUAACGAUGUGGUACAAAGGAUUGUGCAGUAAAGAAAUCAAUGUGGCUUGGGACGAAUUAUUAUUCGAGCAUACAAUUAUGGAAGUCAGUUCCAAUCUUUUAGUGGAGUAGAUUUGGAAUUAAAUAAUUAGGCUAGUUUAAUUACAGGUAGGGAUGGCAAUGGGGAGGGGAGGGGAGGGGACCAAUCUCCCUAUACCCAUCCCCGAUAUUUUAUUAUGUCCCCGUCCCCUCUCCGUCCCCGUCAGAAUUGCUUAAGUGAAUCCCCAUCCCCUCCCCGAAUAAUAACAGGGGAUCCCCGAGGGUCCCCGGUUCCCGAAUAAUUAAUAGUCUAAUACAUUUUUUUUUAUUUUCGAUUUUAAAUUAAUCAUAUUAAAAUAAAAAAUUCAGAUAAAAAUAAAGUUCAAAAUAUAUCUUGCAUUAAUAUUGAUCAAUUUCAAAGUCACAUUCAAAAUAUAAAUUAUUAAAAUAAUUAUCUUUGUCAAUGACUCAAUCUUCAUAAUCCUACAAUAAAAAGAAAAAAAAUUAUUUUUAUAUCGGUAAUAAAAUAAAUGUAGAUACUUAAUUAAUAUUUUUAAUAAAACUAUUUACUUCCUGCUCCUCCUGUUCUUCCUCGAGAAAUGUGGCAAAUUGAGAGUUAGCCUCAGAUUUCAAACCUAAAACAAUGAAAAUGAUAUGAGUAACGUAACUUAUAAGCGCAAAUAUUAAUAACUGUAUAAUAUAAUUACAAUGUAAAAUAAAUUCAUACUGCUAUUGUAAGCUCGUAACCAACUUUAACAGCACAUUAAGGCCUCCAAUGUGCUUGGAUGAAGUUUGUUACGGUGUGGGCUCACAAUUCUAGCACUAGUGCGAAAAGCUGAUUCAGAAGCAACUGUUGUAAUUGGAAUUGCCAAAAUAUCUCUAGCAAUUCGAGCUAAUGUAGGAUACAAAUUAGGAUUAGAACUAUUGUAAAUUAUAAUUAGGCAGCUCUCUCCUGUAUCAUUGUGGUUUGGAUUAAAAAUUUAAGACUUUAAUUAGUUAAUUAAGUUUAAAAGUUUAAUAAUAUAACUAUUUUAAUAUUUAUUAUUUUUAACAAUAUUUAUAAUUUUGUUAUUUAUUUAUUAGUAAUUUUAAAAAUAAAAAUAAAAAUAAAAAUUAAAAUGGGGAAAUGGGUAGGGGAUGGGGAUUCCACCUCAUCCCCGUCCCCUCCCCGAAUAAAAAAUUGGGUAAAAAAUUUUCCCCGUCCCCUCCCCGAAUAAAAAAUUGGGUAUAAAAUUAUCCCCGUACCCUCCCCGAAUGGGGAAAAUCCCCGAGGGUACCCGUCCCCGUGGGGAUUUUUGCCAUCCCUAAUUACAGGCCUAAUUAUUGUAGCCACUAUUGUAUGUUCCCAAAUGAUCCCCGGGUUAGCUCAUUUAAUUGAUUGCACCACUGCUGGACUAAUAAGCAAGAUAACUAGCUAUUUGGGCCAAAAGCCUAAAUAUAUCAUUUAGUGGGAGGCUCCAUUUAAUAAGCUUAUGUGUAAGGGGCCUUAUGUUAUUUUACAUGGUGGGUCCCCUAUUAAAUGAAAAGUAACGUGAGUUUUAUUUUGGGGAAUCCUUGGAGCCUAGGGUUUUCACUAAAGGGAGAUAUAUAAGGCUUAUUUUCCCAAAAAAGAAAAAGAGAAGCCACUUUAUACAGAUCUGAGAAAAAGAUUUUUCUCUCCAUUGUUGAGAGAAAAAUUUUCUCGUGCUAGUUGCUUUGGUAGUGAUAAAGGCGCCCACACGUCAAGUGCAGAUCGAACCUGAGUCAUAACCUGGAAGAUCAUUGGAAACAGUUCGUGAUCUAACAAGCGUGGUGGUGACGGAUCGUGAUCUAACAGGAGUGGUGGUGGUGGAUCGUGAUCUAGGAGCCUAAAUCACUUCAGCGGUAAAAGCCAACUCAGAUUUUCAAGGUACGAUUUCUAGAAUACAAAUUCUUAUAUAUUAUAUGAGAGCGAUCUUCAAAAGGUUUUAUAAAAAUUCAAAAACCUAAUUUUUCCCCAACAUUUAUAAGCAUUGAAAAUUAGCUCAUUAAAUUUGAAAGAAUAAUAUACAAUCUCACUGUUGGCCAGAAAAUAAUAGAAGAACUUGUGAACAUAUAUAAUCAAUUGCUUAUUACUUAAGCUUUUUCUCCGUUAUUUUGAAUGGGUGCAAAGGAGAGAAGUUUUGUACCCAAAUCCAACCCGAAUUGUGUAGGCUGCUUGCAAGAGCUUCAUUAGAUUUUUAUUUGUCUUUUAACUUAACUUCCUUCGUGGUUAAAAUUGUAAAAACAAAUGCGGUUUUAAUAGAAUUAUUGAGGAGUGCCAAUAGUGCUACUCAAUAAAUACAACUAUCUGUCUUUUUUGUUACUGGACUAUAGAUCAAUUGACAGUUGAAGUUAUAUUAAUUUGUUGUACUGGAAUUGAAGCUUGUAUCUUAGCCAUUUCGUGAAGUGUCAAAUAUAUUUUUAAUUUCCUUAAAAUUGUUCAAAAUAUGUUUACACUUUUAAAGUCACUAUUAUACAUGAGUGCCCUAAAAUAAGAGAAGGCGAUUUGCCUGACAUUACCUGUUUCCUGUCAAAUCUAGCAGGUUUACUGAUUAGAUUUUAACAAGUCUCUUGGCAAAGUUUGCUAGAAAUGGAAUCAAAUUAUUCUAUUUAAUCUUACUGUAUAUACCCUAAUAGUUCUUGGUUUGCAUCACUGCAUCGUUCUAUAAUCUGUGUGCGUUGGCUUAUAAGGGCUAGCAAGGCUGACCGUUCGUAGCAUAGUUUUUUUUUUUUUUUUUUUUCCCACAAUGAAAUUCCCAUUGAUUUGACUCAGUAUUUAGAGGUGUUAACGAGGGCACUAUACUAGACAUGGAUUUCUACCUCUUUUGGUUGUACAAUUGUUGUAAUCCUUGGCCAUCAAAUCAUUUUUACGUAGCUUUCUCAGAGUUCAUGCCAAGUGUACAUUAAUGUAUUUAUGUUUUGGGUGCAAGUGGGAUUCUAGUUCUCUAUGGCAGUUGAAGAGGUAAAUGGGCAUAGAGCUAUGCUCUAUCAUAGGCUUCGGCCACUACAAGAAAUUUAAUUUUUUAAGACGAUAUUUUUUACAACAACUUUAAAUUUGGUCACAAAAUGAUAUUUAUUGUGACAAAUUUUUGAAAUCGUAGCUAAUAAUCUUGUCCUAACUUAUAUUGUUUUUUGUAACCAAUUGUUUUUAUUUUGAGACUUGUUCAUAUAUUGGUCAUUAAUUAAAUUUUUUUAUGACAAAAAUUAUUUUAGUCACCAAAAGAUAUAAUUUUUUGGCACAAAAUCUUCUCUCCAAAAGUGAUUAUUUUGAGACAAUAUUUCACUAUUUAUGACAAAAUAAAUAGUCACGAAAUAUAAUUAUAGGCGACCAAAUUAUUUGGUAACUAAAAGAGGGGUGUAAAAUUGACUAAACAAUCUAUGACACAAAAUAUUAGUAGCCAAAAUUAUUGUUCUUUUGGCUAAUUUUAAGACCAUUUUUUUGUCAUAUAUAAUUACCUACAGUGAUAAAAUUAAAAAAUAGUCGUUGAAUGUUUUGUCUUGAAUAAUUUUAUAUUUGAUAACCAAUUUUUUUUCUUUUUGAGACAUAUUACUUGGUCCCUAUUUCAACUUCUUUUUGACGAACUUUAUAAUAGUCACAAAAGACUUUUUUUUUUUUUUUGGGCAUAAAAAGUCUGUCCAAAGUUAGCUCUUUUGGGACAAUAUAUAAUCUUUUAUGACAAAAUAUAUAGUGGCGAAAUAUAAUUAUUUUUUACAAAGUUAUUUCGUAGCUGAAAAAGAGGUGUAAAUUUAGUUAACCUAUUUGUGACAUAAAAUAUUAGUCUCCAAAACUAUUAUGCUUUUAGCUAAUUUUAAGACCCUAUUUUGUUGUCAUGGAUAAUUACCUAUUUUAAAAAAAACUAAGAGAUAGUAAUCAAAAGUUUUGUCUUGAUUGACAUUGUAUUUUAUGAGCAAAAUAUUUUGUUUCAGUGACACUUUACUUGGUCUCUCAUUAGAGUUGUUUGUGAUGAUCAAUAGAAUUAUAUAAUAACCACUAAAUUUUUUUGGGUUAAAUUUUUAUAGAUACUAUUAAUUAAGUUGUUGACGAAAAUGAUCAACCAAUACUAAUAUGGAAUACCAUCAACAGCCGUAAUACUUAUGAAGCGAGAAAUUAUAAUAUGUAGUGAAAAAGUUUUCACAGUAGUCCCUAGUAUUUAGAAUUAUUUUGACUUACUUUAUUUACUUCCAAAACAUAAAAUUCUCAACCCAAAAUUCCCCGCAUUGUGUUUUAUUUUGUCUCCUCACUCAGUUAAGAGUAACUCACGGCUUGACAAAAAAAAGGAAAAAAAUUCUCACAGCUUGAUGUUCUCCUCUCUUUAAAAAUAAAAAUCCCUAGUUACUAUUUGUUUCCACCACCAAAGCAGCCACUCGUAUCUUUUAUUAAGCAUAAUAUUUUUCUUAAAACCUAAUUGAUCAUUCUUUAACGUCUCCAGGAUUAUAUAUGGCUCGCUAUUUUUCUCCUUCAAUUGAAUAGAAGUCUAGAAUUUUUUUUUUUUUCGCAAUUCACUUUUGCUGUGUUUCGUGGUUUGGACGGAGAUCAUGUCAAUAAUUGAACGAUGGGGAUAAAUAUCAAAGAAGGAGCUUACAUGCCCUAUAUAUCUCUCUUUGGAUGAAUAACGAUGGUGAGCUUUCAAAGUACAGAGAUUUACAUGUUUUAAUUGUCAUUUACAUUGCUGCAUGCCAAUUGUUUGAUAAAAUAUCGCAACAAAUACGCAUUCUCGAUUUUCUCAUAAAUUUAUUUUCUUAGUCUGAAAAAAAUUGAAUGUUUAGAGAAUUUUGAAGGUUUUGGUGUAUGUAUUAAUAUUUUGAUUCUAGCCUCAUUUUGCCCCUUGUUGUUUUUAUUCUUGUUUUUUAUAUACGGUUCAAGUGUGAUACACUUUAGUUUUUCUCAACUGUUUGUUAGUUUUUCCCGAAGCAAAAUUUGUCAGACUUUGAGUUCAAAAGUUGAAAUCAUAACUAACAUACUUCGAUUUUUUAUUUUCCUUUUUUCUUCGGUGUCUUUCUAUAUGGCAUUGCUUGAGAAAUUGGUGUACUUAGAUCGUAAUAUUCUGUAGAAAUAAGCCAAUAUUUCAUUGGGUACAUUGUUUAAUAUGAUAAGUACUGUAUGGAAGUUUUACAGAUAAGCUCCUUAUAUAUUAUGCAUUAUGUUUUUAUCAUAUUGUUGCUUGGAACUUUGAAGGAUUGGCCACAGGGCUUUAGUCCUACAUGGACAUUUUAUAUUUAAUAGCUGGUUAGGCAUUUUAUUUGAUGUUAUUUGGACUUGUAGGUCUUAAAAGUUUUGUUCAAUAAUUUUAUAAAGCUUAAUUUCAUAGGUGCUGAUUAGGCAUUUCACGAGGAAAUAGCUGUGCUUUUGGAAAUUAAUAUGCUGUGUUGUCAAUGUUGUGUAAAAUCCUUUUAUUGGUGUCUAUGUAAAGUGUUUCAGAUUUCAGACCUGAGAGUUAAUCUUCGCGUACCAGUUGGCUUUUGGGUUUAGUAUUGCUGCUUUUAACAUAUUUGACCUAUGGCCCAAAUCAUUUCUAUAGGGCGAAGCAUAUGAAUGAUACAUAUUAUCUUUUUUUGGCCUUAUGUAUUGUUAUUUGCACGGUGAUUUGGUCUAGCUUAAGAGCUUAAGCUUGCAGGUUGGAUUUGUCUGACAGGGAACAAUUUAAUUUGUUCAUCGUGAUGUUUAUAUCCAUUUUGUACUACUAUCAAUUUCAAUCAUGCCUAAUUUUUAUAUGUAUUUCUCGUGGACUCUCAGGUUCAGUGCACAAGAGGAUGAAGACGAUGGACACCCAAAUUUGAUGUGGAGAACAACUAUUGCAAAUGGUCCUUGAUUUACUUCUCCAAUUGACUUGAAUUGGUUUUACGCAAUUUAUAGUGUAUUUUUGUCAUCUUUGUAUGACUUGCAGGUCGUCCUGAUUUGGUACAUGACUGGACACAGGAAUUGGACUCAUAUUUUUCAAACCAGAAUGCCAACAAUCAAGGAUUUUCUUUUGAAAGCACUGGCGUCUUCUUCAAUGCCAAAAAGGUUAGAGAUUUUCUGUAUCCUGUUUUGUAUUUGAUCAGUUUAGCAUGUGGGUGGCAAUCAAGAAAAGUUAUUAUAACAUUUUUGUGUUCCCGAAAAACUGCUGAUGAUGUGUGACUUCUUUUUAUUUGUAUUCUUUCUUUUUUCUUUUCUCCCCAACAGUAUUAUGCAUUUCGAAGAGCUUCUUGAAGUUGAUUACCAUGUAUGCCACUUUCUUUACUCUAUGCUCAGGAUGUGAUUUUGCCAAGCAUUAAAAUGGUUUAGGUCAGAACCAUCAUCUAAAGUUUACUUAAAGUUGACGGAUUAAUUCCUUUUAAUAAUGGUCGAGUUAAUUUUACUAUACUCAUAAAACUAUUCUUAUUCUGAUAAUGCCACAAAUGUUAUGAUGUUUUCUUCAGCUAAUGAUCUUCUAUCAGGACUAGUUAGAAAUCAAAUGCUUAAAACACCGAUUGAAUGAAUAAUGCAGAAGUUUAAACAGUAUCUAAUUGAAAAUUGCAUGAAACAUGAAACAUCAAUUCAAGUCCUUCCUUAAACAGAGAAUGCAUCAAACAAAUCCAAAGUGUCUUGCAUGUCUGUAGCAUGACAAAAAAGUUGCAAAUGCGUUUAGAACCAAAUUAUUCAAGUACAGGAGAACGAGCAAGUUGAAUCAUGUACACGAGAUUGGCCUGGUUUGAGAUAGCUUCUUCACUGUACCUGAAGGGUUGGCUCAAUCUUUUCUUUAGAAUUCUGCACAUUUUGUAAUUACUCGUGUAAGCAAGCAUACAUUACAACCAUAAUAAUAAUAAAGCAAGAGUAAUGAUACGACCACCACCUCUUGUACACAAACAAUAUUGUAUAAACUAAUACGACAUAAUAUGAUUGGUUGAACAAAAACAUUACAUGGCCCUCAUAAUUUAUUUAUUUAUUUAUUAUUAUAUAUUUUCAGUCAACCAAUCAUAUUAUAUCACAUUAGUUUCUAUAAAAUAAUUUUCUAAAUAGCACCAAAACUUAAUUGAUACUCACCAUUUCAUUGAACAAUUUUUUUAUGGUGUCAUUGAGGUUGCCUUCCCAACAUCCUUCAUCAUCAUCUUUUUCUUCUUCGGUGACGUUCACUUUGUUUAGCAUUGGUGUGUCUAAGACUCCUUGAGAGAAGAUCUUCAUUUUUGGACACUGUCUCACAACUACUUGUUUCAAGGACGGGAAUUCAAGAGCGUAAUUACCUAAACAAAAGCUUGUUAGGCUUGGCAAACAAUCAAGUCCCAAGUACUUUAAUUCCUUGAAAACAAUGCAAUCUUUCGCUUCUUCUGCAACCGGCGACUGUAUGAUUUCUUCUAUCCUUUUGCAAUCAGCUAUCGUCAUACUUUGAAGAAUUAUCAGACUUCUAGAUGUUGAGAGCGUCAACAAAUUUAUCAACCUGUGACACUUCGAUACUUUCAAAGCCUCAAGAUUUUCCAAAUGCCACGAAGCUGGUACUAAUUUCUGUAACUUACUACAUUCAAAUAUUUCUAGACUUUUCAAGUUUGCAAACGCUUUGUUGGAUUCGUCAUUUUCCUUCCAGAGAUGCUGCACUUUGUGUAAUCUAGAUAGCUUUAACUCCUUCAAUUGAGGGAAUGUAAGCUGAAAAUCAACAAAAUUAAGUUGUAAAUGAAAAUAUGUAUCCAAUCUCUGCAGUAUUCCCCUGCAUAUUUUAUGGACAAGAUUAAUCACGGCAUUUUAUAUUUUAUUUCCAAAUUAGUAUGCUUUGCAGUAGGAUCCCAAAUAUAAGUAUCAAAUCGAUUACCCUUUGAAACACAUAAAUGAAAUCUGAUACUAAAUCCAAUAUGAAUUAGCUAGGAAAACAGAGAUGCGACAAGCAUAAUUGAUAUAGUUCAUCACCUCAUGUUACCAGUCAUCGAAAUAAUUUAAGACAUUUUUUUAAUUCAUACUAUAAAGUUAGUUCAUAACUGUAGUUGUAUUGUUAAUUCAUAUAUGAAUCAAGAUGACAUGCAAAAAGAUGAGUCAUAAAAUUUGAUUUGAUUCUAAUGAAAUUACAUCUGUGCAAACAAAAGUGAAGGGGAAAAUAAAAAUAAUAAUAAUAAUCACCUUUUCAUCGAAGAGGGGUUGUACUUGAUGAGCCAGCAAAAAGUUCUCUUCUGAUGUUAAUUUUUGAGGUUCCUUGUUAUUUGUUGUCACAUGCACUACCGAGUUGGAUAUGAAUGUUUCCAUAUCAGGGCAAUUCUCAAUAGUUAGAUUCUCCAACUCAGACAGUUCAAUUAUAUUCCCAGUGAAGUUACAGAAUCUUUUGAGUUUUGGAAGAUCAAUAAGCCUUAGUCUGUUAAGCCUAGGAAACCGGGGGCCUAUAUGUUCUUCCUUAGCAUUUAGCUCUUCUAAAUGAAGCACCUCUUCUAUUAAAUCACAAUUCCUCACUUCCAGGCAUCUCAAAUUGUUCAAGCAACGUAGCAGAUUGGUAGGAAUAGCACUCGACAUAUUCGUGCAGUCAUCCACAGCCAGUUGUCGUAAAUUGUUGAAGAAGCUGACAGGCACUGCUUGGCCGUGCCAUAUUUCUCUCAAGCGUGGAAAAUGUGAGAGUUGCAAAUGCUCUAUGUCACGGAAUCCAAUCUGCAUAAACCAAAACAAUUGCACUGGAUAUAUAUAAAUUUCUUUUUUUGAAAGGCAUUAGAUAUAUAUAUACAUUAAACUUACAUGUUUUGUGCUAUAACUUCUAAAAAUAUAUUUACAACGCAUGUGUAUAUGUUUAAAUGUGGUAUAGUGGAAUUAAGCUUAUUGCCAUUACUUCGAAGUGGUGUUCGUAACACCAUUACUUCGCAAAGUGAAUCGAUAAACACAUACCAUUACUUGGANNNNNNNNNNNNNNNNNNNNNNNNNNNNNNNNNNNGCCUUCCCAAUGGUGUUCACCCUCUUCCCUUUCAGUCACUUGCACUACGUAUAGCUUUGGUGUGGAUGAGAUUCCCCGAGAAAAAGUCUUCAUGUUCGGACAAUGUGUCAUAGAAACUUGUUCCAAUGAUGGGAAUUCAAGAGUGUAAUUCUCCAAACAAAAGCUGGUAAGCCUUGGUAAAUCAUCAAGUUCCAAAAGUUUUAAUUCGUUGAAAGCAAUACGAUUCUCCUUCGCUUCUUCUCCAACAUGUCCUAUGAUUUCUUCUAUUUUUGCACAGUCUGAUACAUCAAGAUUCACUAGACUAUUGGGAAUUCCAACCUGAAAUAAAGAGUAGCAUUCAACUAGAUCAAAGUAUGUCAAAAUCAUACAAUUGUUUUAUGAAAAAUAACAAUUUUGAGGAAUUGAAAGAUAACUAAUUUAAUUUUUUUUUGGAAAGACUAAUAAUGAAUGAAUUAAUGAUUAAAUAAUAUUAUUAGUUAUAUCUAUUUAAUAUUAAUGUUAUCAAAUAUAGAUUUUUCAUAAAAAAUAAUUCUUAACUAUAUAAUUAAUAAUUAGAGAGAUGUUAAUAAGCUUUUUGAUUUCCUAAAAUACGUAAUUUAAAAAAAAUUAGAAUUAUUAAAAAAAUUCAAAAAAUGAGGCCUUCACAAAAUAUGGGACCUUAGGCGACCGCCUUGUUCGCCUAUACCUAAAGCCACCCCUGCAUGGGACUGUAAUAGAGUGAAUAUUUGAGGAAAUUUUUUAAUCAACGGUCGACUCAAAAUGACCAUCAUGAAUUUGUGCUUAAUCAAUGGCGUAAUCAAUUCAUAACUAAACCAGAGAUAUUAACUACAUUUGAACACUUUUCUUUAUUUUUUAUUUUUAAAUCGAAAUCUAAAGACCCAAGGAAAAGAGAAAUAUAUAUGAAUUUGUGAACUUAAAAGCUGAGUAACUAAGUAUCUUUUAAUUUCUGAAAAUCUUAUUUAUUAGGAUAUAAGAAAAAAAAACAAUUAAAUUGAAUUAUAUUAUGCUGUUAAAUCGUGUUUAAAACAAUUACUUUAAUGCAGGUGAACCUAUAAAUUAGAUUGAAAAUGCAGAGUUCAGAAUGGUGAUUUGAAGUACACUACUUUUUUGCCCUCCAGAAGUUUGAAGUAAAAUACUUGCAAUAAAUAAUUUGUGAAUGAAAAUUAUUUGUAAACACAAAAAUGAUUAAAAUAAUUGUUGAAUGUUACUUGAAAUAAAAAUUCAAAAUGAAUAUAGCAAUCUUACCAAUGGAGGAAAAAUAUUCAGUAGAUUAUUACACCCAGAUAUCUUCAAUUUUUUCAAUUUGCUAAAAGACUUCGAAGCAAGCUGGUGGUGCCAUAUUUUUCUCAACUUAUCCGCCUCACUAAUAUGUAAUACCUCCAGACUUGGGAGUCGUACCUGAAGUUAAAAAUUCAAUGCAAUUAGAGAUGUAUAUUAAUUAAAUUUGAAGACUCAACGAAAAGAGAAUUUAAAAAUUCAAUGAAAAAAAACCUUUUCAUCAAAGAGGGAUUGAGGUUGCAUUUCAGUGUGAAUGACGUCUUCUGGUGAGGCAAAGCUACUUAGUUUUGGAAGCCAAUGGAGCGACAGGUAGUGUAGUUUGGGAAAAACCUUAAAUUCAUCUCUUCCUCCUAACGUCGUGGUGUUGACUACCCCUUCAAUUGACCGGCAAUUACGAAUCUCAAGAUGUUGGAGUUGCCCAAGACUAUUAACCAUAGAAUAUGAAAACAAAUACUUCAGACGAUGACAACUCCACACGGUCACUUUUGUUAAAUUUUGACAACAAUAUAUUCCCUGAAAUUGAUCGGACCAUAAUUUUUUGAUAUUUGUUAAACUGACAAGUUCCAGUUCCUCCAAGCGUGGAAAAGUAACCUGCAAAGAAAAACCAUACAUUUUUGUUCUUUCAACUACAACUUCUAAUAUAAUAUUCUUUCGAUGAUUGAAGAUCAAUCGUGAUAAUAUAUUAAUUAAUUAAUUAUUAAACAGAAAAUUAUUACCUGGUGAACAGGAUCAUCCUCUGCAUUGAUUUCUAUGAAUCCCUGAGUUGUUGGUGGUUUCUCCAUGUCGGGCCCUAUAAAUGAACCAAAACAAUAUACAAUAAACAUCCGUUGUUUUUUUCACCAAAAAAAAAAAAAAGAAAAAAAGAAAGAGUCAAUGUCAAUAAUCCUACCAAUAAUUAAUUUCAACACUUACCAAUAAUCAUUUUCAAAUCAUCGCAGUCUUCCACUUUUACUUUUUGAAGCCGCAAUAGGUUUUUGGCCAUAGAGAAUGAGAAGAGAUACUUCAAUUUUCGACAGGAAUCUACGUUUAUAAUCCUUAAGUUGCUGAAGGAUUGAUCUUCUCUGAGUUGGCUGUAGCAUAUCGUCUCCAAAUUAGUUAAAAACAUAAGAGACAAUGCCUCCAGCAAGGGAAAGACUUCGCAACGAACCCGUCUAACUGAACCGACAAUAUGUAAAAUCUCAGAACAGUCUGUUACGAGAAGACGCUUCAAUCGUGGAAAACCUUCCCCAUCGUCUAAUUCAUGAACAACACUUUGAACACCCUCCAAUGUUUCUAGCCAGAGAUCUUCAGUUCUCUGCAGCAACAUUUUUGUCCCAUCAUUCUCCUUAAGAAUGCUAACUUUUUUUAUCCCCUUGAGCAUCAUCAAUCUUGAUGCUUCGGAUUUGACGAGCAAUGGGUCAAACUCAUCUUCGGGCCCAUCUCCUAUACGUAUCUUAUAUCUUUGCAAUUCCACAGAGACAAAAUCCGGCGGCAGAAUUUCGGCAUCCGGAACUUCUAUCUCCAAAGUAGUUAGCUCUGUCAACCUCUCCAAUUCGACAAGACUGGCAUUACUUCCUCCUUCAACCUUCUCCCACCCUGAAAAACCGUUACCCAUAUACAAUUCUUCUAAUUGAGAUAAUUUUGAUAUGACAUUCGGUGCUAUCACCUCAAGCCACCAACAAUUGCUCAAAUCUAGCAAUUGUAACCGCGUCAAUUGUCCAAUUUCAACUGGUAGCUGGUUGAUAUUGGAAUAUGCGAGGCUGAGAAUCUCUAAUUUCUUUAGUUGUCCAAUUGCCGCUAUAUCUGCUAGUUCGCACCAGUCUAAACACAAUGUUUGAAGGUUAAUGAGGCGACCAAGUGAUGAAGGUAAUGAAGAAGAGCCAAUUCCAGGAAACUGUAAAACUUUGAGUCCUUCCAUCCCUUCAAAAAAGUGGUCUGAAACUUGCAUAGGGCCAUUACCCUCCGUAUACAACAAAAAUAACUGGAGAUUGGGACAUUGCAACCUUUCAGGGAGCUCUUGAAUAUCUCUAUGAGGUAAUGAAAUAGCAAUUGGAUCUUUCUGUAUUGUCUCUUCCAUCUUUUUCUCCAAGUCAGCAACAUUUGGAACAUUAAACAUGCGCUCCUCUGUGGCAAUUGAUACGGCAACAACAUGAAUGACGUCAUGCAUUUUAACUUCAUCUUCAGCAUCACCGUCCAACAAUAAGCAUGAAGAUUUGAGGUUGUCGAUCAACCGAUGCACUCUACUCCUUGCUUCUUCCAAUGUGUAAACAUUUUCAAACAAACCCCAACCCACACCAUAUCUCAAUAAGUCAGAAACUUGUAUGACAUUACCUUCACUGUAUAGACUACAAAGACGGAACAGAGAUUUUGCCUCCUCACUUUCCAAGAAGUCAUAACUCAAUUUUAUGGAGGUGUACACAUUUGCUUGCAUGCCAUGAAUUUCUCUAGCAUCCGAUCUUCUUAGCUGAUUCAAUGCAUCUUUCCAAAAGUAACGCUCUUUAGUUUUCAGAGCAUUUGCAACUGUACUCAGUGCAACAGGCAAACCUCCGCAUCUUUCAACGAUCUCAUUUGCUAUACUUUGAAAAGCAGAUAUUUUAGUUGAAUCACCCAAUAUCUUUUCAAAAACUGCAAUGCUUCUUUUGGUGGCAAAGCAUCGAUCGGGAAAUUUUUCUGAGAAUUCAUAUCAAUGCGCAAUAAAUCUCGACUUCUAGACGUCAAUAUUAUUGUGCAUCGUCUCUGAUCAUCCUUUGUAUCUUUCUCAUCAACAUCCCCACAAGGAAUUCCAACUUUUUCGAACUCGAGUUUUUUCCAAAUAUUAUCCAAUAUAACGAGGACCUGCUUCUCGUUCUUCAAUCUUUCACGUAAUCGAUCUGCUCUUUCGAAUUUAUUCUCAUCCGAGCCAAAUUUCAUGCCUAAGUCAAAAGCAAGUUUCUUUUGAAUUUCCUGAUGAUCUGGGGUCUGUGUUACCUCAGCCAUAACGACCUUAUCGAACACCUUAUCUUCCAUAACUUGCCUUGCAACUUGCUUGACUAGCGUGGUUUUACCCACGCCGCCCAUCCCGCAGACCCCAAUUAUCUUGAGCUUAUCAUCCUUCAACGCCUCCACAACAUCUUGAAAUACUUUCAUUCUUGAAUCAAAGGCCUCGAAAUCUUUCACUUGCAUAUGUUCUGCCCGCUUUGGAGCAGGACGGUAGGAAACAUUAGAGAAGUUACCUUUUCCCAUGAGACUAGCAGCAGCUUCUGCGGCCUUUGCUGCUUGUCUACUGAGCUUGUAACGAGAAAUCAAGUUUGGGCACAAUCCUUUGAAACAGAACUUCUUAGCUCUAUCUUCAUCAUCAGUGAUGGAUUUCGCAGCUCCCUGAGUGAAUUCCUUGACGCUAUUAAGCCAGUCUGCAACAUCCUUAUAAAUCUCAUCUCCUUGUUGAGUAGCCUGAUGAACGGGUAUUUCCACCCUUUCUCUUUUAUAUCCCAACUGUUUCACUUGAUCUUUUAGGCCAUCUAUGUAGCUCUGGUACUUGAACACAUAAGAGAUCUGCCGUAUAAUCGGUUUGAACAGUGACUUUGCAUCUUCUGAUACGAUGCUGGAAAAAGCAGCCAGACCCACUUCUACAACCAUUGCCUGUUGCUUAACAAUAUAUGUAUAUAUAUGAAUAAAAUGAAUAAAAAUGUCAAAGAAAGGAAUACAAAUAAAUUAAAAUGAACUAGAGGGAAAGACAGAGAAAGAAAAGACCGCAAACAACAUCGCGAUAUUGAUUUUGAACCAACUGAUACCUAAGUAGAGAAUUUCUUUUUCUAUCUUAAGGAUCAGAGGUUUCGCUAUUAACAGAAAGGUAUCCUUUAAGGAAAGUUGAUGGAAAUUAAGAAAGAAUGGCUAUCAAGAUCAAGUAUUCUGCUACUAAAAAUAAAUGAUAUGACUUAAGAAAAGUAAAUGAUAUGAUUAAGAAAAACCAGAGAAUUUUUUCCUAGGAAAGUUGAUGGAAAUUAAGAAAGAACCGCUAUGAAGAUCAAGUAUCAGAGAUUCUGCUACUAAAAGAAUAUUACAGGUUUUAGAACAAGUGCACCUCUUUACCUGUCUGGGAUCAGAGUCGAUGAGCUGCUGUAUUCACCUUGAAUAUAGAAGAAAUAUUACAGGUUUUGACUAAAGAGGAAUGUGAGGAACGAGUUGAUGAGAGUAAUAACAAUGAAUUUCCAAAAGAAGACGACUUGAGCAUUAAGCAUGCACCCCCUUUAUCAAUCAAAUAUUGGUACGUAUGUACGUAGGGACCAUUAUGCGUAUAUGAAGUCCAUUAGUUGCAAUCAGAAACCCUGGCCCAAUUUAAUUGGCACUCGAUUUUUGAUAAGAAGAAGGCAAGGAUAAGGACAAAGUCAAUCAAUCACCAACAGUAAUUACUUCAAUCUUUGUCAAUCUACUUAAAUUGUCGAUCAACAUGAAAAUUGUUUAAAUUGAUAUUUGUAAAUCAAUCAAUUUUCUAGUUACUAUGAUUAUAACGUUUCACCUUUCAUAUUGGAUUUUAUCUUUUCGAAAGUUUUCAAAUAUGAGUGUCAAUAAUUAUUGAGACUCCAAGCCGUGCUCUCAAGAUCGUGCUGACAAAUCACUAUUGACUUUGUUUAUGCAAAAUUCAAAGAAAAAAAGUUAUGGUUUUGUAUUGCCAGCCCUGCUACUUUUUGUUUUUUUCAUUUGUAUUAUUUACGAAUUAUUUUUUAACAGAAACAUGAGAACUCAUCAUCGUACAAAAUUGCAUGAAAAAAUCUUCAAAUUUAUAAAAGUAAAUUUCGUUGACAGAUUGUGGAUAUGUUAGAAAGAAUAAGGAUAAGAAUGAGUUAAGAAAUAAUAUAUAUAUAUAUAUAGAUAGAGAGAGAGAGAGAGAGUGAAAGUAAACAAUGUUUUGGUACAUUUGGUAUUGUUUUCAAAAUAUUUUGAAAAGAAAAAUUUUCAAUUAUCCACCUAGGAAUUAUCUUAUUAUCCAAAAAGUUAUAAAAAUUUAAAAAUAUUUAAUUUUAUACCCAUUAUUACAAUGUGUAUCAACUGUUUACUAAAAAAAUAAAGUUACUCCUAAAACAUAAUCACCACUACAAUUUUGUGUUCGCUUCUAUUUUGUCACUUUGAACGAAUAACUUUAUAUUUUUAACAGAUGUUUCAUACAAAUUGCAUACAUUGGAUGUAAAAUUAAAUAAAUUUAAAUUUUUAUAAUAAUUUUAAUAAUUGAAUAAACUUUGAGUAAAUGACUGAUAAUUUCUCUUUUAUAAGCUACAAGAAGUUAAAAAGAAAAAAGAAAAAAUAGGAUGAUAAUUUCUCUUUAAUAUGCCUCAGAUGAUUUAUUGUUUCGGGUCUAAGAUUUUAAAUAUUCAACUUAAAAGAUUAAUAUAUUAUAAAUUAAUUAAUUAAAUAAUCAUUAAGCAACUAAAUUGGGUCCCCUGGAUGUCAAUUCCUUUAUUAUUGACGCAACUAUUUUUUUAUGGCAAAUAAUUAUUAAUGCACUUACGGAACUUUUGCAUAUCUACACAGCGAUUUUAAAUAUUACUGGUAACUGCUGAGAAAUGUGCGAGAAAGAAGUUGAUGAGAGUAAUAACAGCGACUUGCAAAAGGAAAAGACAGAAUCAUUCAGACAUUCACCCCUUUUUGUAUCACGUACUUGGUUACUGUUUCCCUGUUGACGCAUGUAUAAAUUUGAGUGAUUUUUCUGCACUUUUUUGGCUGUUGCUUAACAAUGUGUGUGUGUGUGUGUGUGUGUGUAUUUGCUGUUGAAAAAUUUGGAUUCAAAUAAAUUAACUGAAAGAUUAGAGUUUUGACUAUUAACUGAAAGGUUUCAAGGGUAUGAAUGAAAAGCAACAUUCUUUUUUAGAAACUAUUUUAGAGGAGAGAUGCAAAUUAACAAAUGCUAAUAACAAGAACACAGAAGUUAACAAUGAACAGUAACUUAAAUCAAGAAAAUUAAAUGACAAAAUUAAGACAAAUAGGAGAUAUUUUUUCGUGGACGUUAAGAAAUAACUGCUGUCAAGAAUAAGGAGAUUAUGCUAUUAAUAGAAAUUAUCAAAGGAUUUAGGACAAGUUCACCUCUUUAAUUAUCCGGGAUCAGAUAGUUGAUGAGCUUCUCUAUUUGAUCUUGAAUAUUUAAGAAUAAUUUUAAUGAGCAAAAAGAUCACUGGUAACUGCUGAAAAAUAAGUGAGAAAAGAGUUGAUGAGAAUAAUAACAAUGAAUUGAAUAAAAAAAGGACUUAAUCAUGCACCCCCUUUGCAUAUCAUGUAUAGAAUAAUUACAUGUAUUAUUAUAAUUUUGGGUUCGAUAUCCUUGUAUUAGUGUCUAAGAUUUUCAUGAAGAAUUAAACUUGAAAUGACCAAAAGAGGAAGCUGCGGUGUAUUGUUGGACCCAAUUAAGUUGAAGAAAGCACUAGUUCACAACCUUACGUUUGGAUAUAUUCUAAAGAAAUAAUUAAACAGCAAAUGAUCAUCACAUGCACUUUAAUGAUUUGAUCUAUUGUUUUCAAAAGAAAUUGCAAUUAACAGUUUUUGUCAAAAGUUCGCACUGUGUGAAACUAGUGUUAAUAUAAUUUAAAAAAUUACUUUCAAUAGCAUAUGGAAUAAUUAUAAUAUUAUUAAUACCUAAGAUAUAUUUAUAUUUAUUAUAAAAAAUUCAGUUAAAUAUUUGUGUUAACUAGAAUUUAUAAUUAAUAUAAUAUAUCUUAGGUAUUAAUAAUAUUAUAAUUAUUCCAUAUGCUAUUGAAAAUAAUUUAAAUUUUUAGACGUUUAUUUUCAUAUUAAGUUUUUAUUUAUUAUAAAAUUUAGUUUAAUAUAGUAUAAGCUUGUAAAGUAUUAAAAUAUUUUUUUUCAUAUUUUUUAAAAAUAUUAAAAUUAUUUUAAUAUAUAUAUAUUAACAUUGAAGCCAAUUUUUUGAGUUAAUAGAGCUAGUAGGUGUUACACUAAAAAAGAGUAUCUUAGUAUCUCUUAUUGAGUGGGAGAGCCAAAUGAAUCGAAAAAUUCAUGUUUGGUUCGGGAAGGGAUCAUCGAAGUUUUGAGAUGAAUGGAAAGAUAAUCUACUUUCAUUAAGUGAUUUAUUAGAUAAUCGCAAACUGAGGAUUUUGAAUAGUAUUCAAAAUUCAGAAGAAAUGCAGAGAGGGGCCAUUGAACGGCCGGAAAAAGCCCGGCCCGGUUACAAAAAAUCAAAAUAGAAGCAGAUCAAUAUUGAAAAUAUAUAGAUCUAUAUAAUCAUUUUUUCAAAUAUCGAGAUGUAGCUAUAAAAGAAAAAAUAAAUUAAAAAAUUUUAAAUUUUAAAUUUUAAUAUGGCCAUCGUAGGGUUAGAAUCCCCGCUCCAACCCGAUUUGGAGAUGUGCUUGGUCUAUUUAUGUUUUGGAAAAAGAAAAACCAAAGAAAAAAAAUACGCACCCGACCAAAUCAAGUAACUCAUCAAAUAAAAAAUAAAAAAGGAAAGAAAUUUAAUGACUUGCGUGCAAUUUUGGAUCUGAAAUUAAAAUUACAUAAAAAUUCAGGCUUACGUACCUUGAUAUUUACAGCUUAUUUGAUGGCCUCAACAAGUUUAAGCAGCAUCAAAAUGUUGUGGCUCCUUCAAUGACAACAUCGACUUGUUUGACAGCUCCAACAAGGCUACGAUGAUCAGAAAAUGAGCCCUCAAUCAACCAGCGCCUUGCUCUUUGUCAUUUUUCCUCUUGUUAGUUUUCUUCUACAUAUAAUUAUUACACUGGGAAGUAUACACACACCUCUUUUCUUUUUAUAGUACCUUACUAUUAUAUCUUUACAAAACAAUAUCACCCUAAGACAUAUAUGUAUGAAAUAAAUAUAUAAGGAACUGACGAAAUAAAAUUAGAUCUAACACUAGUUUCAUGUGGUGUGUGAACUUUUGACAAUCCUCUCAUACCCCAACAAAAACUUUGUCAUAUUACGAAAGUUAUCACGACCAUAGACUUUUCAAUUGCAUAUUGGAAUUGCAAUGUCAUUUUAUUAUAGUAAUGUCAUUUCCAUUAUUCAUAGUGGCAGACAAUGGACAUCACGGGACACGGCGAGAAGUUAUCACGACCAUAGACUUUUCUAAUUUAUGAAAUAAAUGAAAUUAGAUCUAAUUCUAGUUUUAAGUGGUGUGAACUUUUGACAAUCCUCCCAUAUCCUAACAAAAGCUUUGUCAUAUUGCGAAAAUACCUUUCCAAUGUUUCAAUUGCAAUGUCAUUGCCAUUAUUCAUAGUGGCAGACAAUGGACAUCACGGGACAUGGCUAGAAGUCUAUGUUACGGCUUAUGUAAGUAACAGUAGCCAAUGGGGAACUUCCACAGGGGCUAUAGGAGAGAGAAAGAGGUCCCAAUACAAGUGUUAGAGUGCAAUUUAUACACUAGUUUUGCAUUGUUUACUUCCCUUAAUAUCAAUGUUUUGCAUUUAAUAAUAAUGAUUUACUUGUGUUUUACUUUUGUAGGUGCAAUUCUAUUGAUUUGUUAUAAAAUUGAGGUAUAAGAUGAUGUUUAAAGAUGAUUGUUCUCUUAGAGAAAUUUAGAGCGUCAGAAGAACUUUAUUGAUAAAGCGUGGGCGCGUGCUGUCAACUGCGGACCUGCAGUUUUUAGUUUAAUGUGUUUUGUAUUUUUGGCUAUUUUUGUAAUUACGAAUUUAAUAUUUCAAAUAUUAGUAUUUUAUUUUAAAUAGAACUCUAAAAGAGAAGAGAGAGAGAGUAUUUAAGGGAGGAAUCUAUUGUGAAAAAGGGGGGAUUUUAAUUGGAGAAAAAGAAAGAAACCCUAGAUCUAAUUUUUCUCUUCUCUCUAUGAAGAACUAAACUUAUUUUUUCUGGUGGAAGGUUAAUGAAGCUUUGAUUCAUCAAUACUGUGAGAUCUUUCUUAUGCUUUAAUUGUUUUAUUACUUUUUGGGUAUUUGUUUAUUCUCUGAAUUUGUUUCAUGAUUAUGUUUGUUAAUUAGGUAAUUGGCCACUAUUUAAUUAUCAACUUAAUCUAUUGUCAAUUAAAGAAUUCAUCGUAUGAAGAGUUUAAUGUUUGUGACAAAUAACAUAGCAGUGAGUUGUGUUAUGGGAAUAAACAAUCUAAUUUAAAUGAAUCAUUAUAUGUGUUGAUUAGGAUUUGGGUCUCUAUGGUUUUUCAGGCUGUCAAUUGAUUAAAUCCUAUGAUCGUAUCUAGGGUUGUCUAUUGAUUAGGGAAAUAUCCAACGGUCGUACCUUGGUUAUCGACUAGUUAAGGAGAGAUUGGCUAUUAGAGGGUCUCAAUAGCUAUAACCGGUCUAUUCAUAAGUAAUAAUAAUCUAUUUUUGAAUCAAUGAUUAGUAGUCGAAUCAAGCUGAGUUAAUUCCUUCAACCAGAGCUUUCUCCAAUUUGAAUUACAACUUUAAUUUGCAUUUUUGUUAUUUUAAUUUGAUUUUUUAUUAUUGUCAACAAUUCCCCCAUUUUACGUUUUACGUUUCAAAAGGAUUUAAAUAAUUACCGAUCUCUGUGGACACGACCCUGCUCAAUCACUAUACACAAUUUAUUUAGAGUAGGAAUUUAUUUUUGUUGGCUUCGACAACCAUCAACAAGGUGAUGGAAAUGGGAAAGUUCGAAGCUGUUACUUUCAGCUUCUGCACCGUAGCCAUGUCCCACGGGACAAGGCUAGAAGUUAUCAUGACCAUAGACUUUUCUAAUUUAUUUUUUCCUUUCAAAAAGGGACAAGGAUAAGUUUGGGAGAAUGAUUAUAUUUUUAAUAAAAGAAUUCUUUUUUAUUAUAAUACUUUUUGUCUUUAUUAAUUUAAAAAUAUUAACUCUUAUAUUUUAAUAAAUAUAAAUAUAAUAUUAUAAUAACAUAUAACAAUAUAUACAAAAAUUUAAAAAAAAUUAAGAUUUUAUUAAAAUAAAUUUUAUAAUAAAUACAAAUACAUUAUUAAUAUAAUUUUAAUAAUUUGCAUUUUAAAAAGUAAUACUGAUAUUAAUUUUUUAAAUAUUAAUUUUUUAAAUUAUAUUACUCUACCAAAAAAAAUUAAACUAUUAAAUUAUAUUGAUAUUUAUUACAAAAUUUGCAAUUAAUUCUUAUUAUAUUUUUAAUUGGAAUUUGUUCCUGUGAUAUAACAACAAUUGCUACAGUUUUUUUCCCUAAAUAAAGAUGGAGUUAUAAAUUAUUUGUGUAAGUGUCAUGAAAGUAAUAGUUGAAUAACAAUAAUGGGGCUUUAGGCAAUUUUUUCAUGAGGUCUUCUUGCAAUUUCAACACUUAAACAUACUUGUCCUUGAUCCCAAUUUAUUUACCCCAUUUGGGCCCACGAUGAGAUAAAUAUAUUCCUGUGAGAUGAAAAACAUCAGGAGAAGAAAAUGUUUUAUUAUAAUAAAAAAACAAGUGGUCCAUAAGUCUAUUUAUUACUUUUUUUAUUCAAUACAAAUGGCCAACUUAAAAAAUGAUAAAAAUCACAUAACGCACAAGCAAAAAUUUAGAUUUACAUUUUUUUAGUUCUCUCCGUGUCUCUCUUUCUCUUUUUUUUUUUUAAAAAAAAUAAAUGUCAGUGUAAAAUUAGAAAAAUUUUAGAUAUAAACUUUGGCGAUGACCAAACAAAAAUUGCAAGGGAAAGAAAAUAGAGGACCCUUGAUAUCAUUGAAAUACUGAUCAUAGACACUACAAUAUAAAUAACUUGUUGUGAUCCACUCAACUUGUAACACUUUAAUCCAUAUUCUAAAAUUUGUAUGCUUGUUAGGAAUUUUAUUAUUGACAUUACUGUACCAAUAAAAGUCUAAUUUAUUCAUAUGGAAAGAAAACAUCAAGAAAGGACCUCUGAUUUUUAUUAUAACAGAAAAAAGUGGUCCAUAAGUUUAUUUAUUAUUUUAUUUAUUCAAUACAAAUUGCCAACUUAAAAAAUGGUAAAAAUCACAAAAUGCACAAGUAAAAUUUUAGAAUUACAUUUUUUUAAUUCUCUUUGAGUCUCUCUCUCUCUCUUUAAAAAAUAAACCUCACUGUAAAAUUAGAAAAAUUUUAGACAUAAAAUUUGACAAUCACCAAACAGAAAAUGUAGGGAAAUGAAAAUGGAGGAGCCCUAUUAUCAUUAGAAUAUUGAUCAUAGAUACUAUAAUGUAAAUGAUUUGUUGUGGUUCAUUCAACCUGUCACACUCUAAGCCAUUUUCUAAAAUUUGUAAGGUUUAUAGGAUUUUUAUUAUUGGCAUCAUUGUAUCAAUAAUAUUAUAAAUUAUAUAUUCUAUUGUAAUGAAAAUUUAUGUAAUCUUAGGUAUUUAUUUAUUGUAAUAAUAAAAAAUUUCUAAAUAAAGGUGAUUGCUUCAUUGACAAGUACAUAUUUAUAUUCUCUAUUAGUAUUUGGGUUGUAAACUUUGUUUAUAAAGUGAAUAUAUUGUGGUAAGCGAUGUGGGCAAUAUCGGAUGCAAAAUAUUGAGAGAUCAUUAACGCAUAUAUUUAUUGAAGACGCAUAUAGAGGAAAGAGUGUAGAUCCGGCCGUAACAAUUAUGAAGCUUUCCCCAAGUAUUCUCACGCUUCCUUAACUGUUGCAAAGUAUUUUUCAUAGUGUGCAGAUUUACUUUAUGGUGUCUUAAUUCGUCUAAAAUGAUUACUUUAGUUCUUUUGGGAUGAAAGGUCAUUUAUUGUGUUAGUAUUAAACAAUAGAAAAAAUAAGUAAUGGUAACGAAAGACUAAUUUGUGAUAUUGAAGCAUACAUGCUUAACUCAAUCCAAAACUUAGUAAGUUAGCUCAAGAGUUAAGAGUUGUCCAAAUCUUAUAUGCUGAACCCAAGUUCAAUACUCAAUUGAUGCAGGAUGUUAUUCCUAACACCGCCCCUCAUGCGUAGGAUUGGCAAAAAAACUCGAGUCAGUCCCGCCUAGACCUGCAAGCUUUAUUUAUGGCCAGCAUGAUGAAGUUACAGAUAUUAACCUAAAAAUUUGAAACUUACUAUGAAUGGCCUUGGUUAAAGACUUUUGUAACUUUAAUUUAUAACAAGUAUGUAUACACACACACACACAUGUUUAGAUUGCAUUUGGAUGACUUUUUUAUCAAUGCAAACAAUAUCAAAUUUAUCGGAUUAAUUUGAAUCUGAUCUAUAUCCGAUUUUGCCCGCCAUANNNNNNNNNNNNNNNNNNNNNNNNNNNNNNNNNNNNNNNNNNNNNNNNNNNNNNNNNNNNNNNNNNNNNNNNNNNNNNNNNNNNNNNNNNNNNNNNNNNNNNNNNNNNNNNNNNNNNNNNNNNNNNNNNNNNNNNNNNNNNNNNNNNNNNNNNNNNNNNNNNNNNNNNNNNNNNNNNNNNNNNNNNNNNNNNNNNNNNNNNNNNNNNNNNNNNNNNNNNNNNNNNNNNNNNNNNNNNNNNNNNNNNNNNNNNNNNNNNNNNNNNNNNNNNNNNNNNNNNNNNNNNNNNNNNNNNNNNNNNNNNNNNNNNNNNNNNNNNNNNNNNNNNNNNNNNNNNNNNNNNNNNNNNNNNNNNNNNNNNNNNNNNNNNNNNNNNNNNNNNNNNNNNNNNNNNNNNNNNNNNNNNNNNNNNNNNNNNNNNNNNNNNNNNNNNNNNNNNNNNNNNNNNNNNNNNNNNNNNNNNNNNNNNNNNNNNNNNNNNNNNNNNNNNNNNNNNNNNNNNNNNNNNNNNNNNNNNNNNNNNNNNNNNNNNNNNNNNNNNNNNNNNNNNNNNNNNNNNNNNNNNNNNNNNNNNNNNNNNNNNNNNNNNNNNNNNNNNNNNNNNNNNNNNNNNNNNNNNNNNNNNNNNNNNNNNNNNNNNNNNNNNNNNNNNNNNNNNNNNNNNNNNNNNNNNNNNNNNNNNNNNNNNNNNNNNNNNNNNNNNNNNNNNNNNNNNNNNNNNNNNNNNNNNNNNNNNNNNNNNNNNNNNNNNNNNNNNNNNNNNNNNNNNNNNNNNNNNNNNNNNNNNNNNNNNNNNNNNNNNNNNNNNNNNNNNNNNNNNNNNNNNNNNNNNNNNNNNNNNNNNNNNNNNNNNNNNNNNNNNNNNNNNNNNNNNNNNNNNNNNNNNNNNNNNNNNNNNNNNNNNNNNNNNNNNNNNNNNNNNNNNNNNNNNNNNNNNNNNNNNNNNNNNNNNNNNNNNNNNNNNNNNNNNNNNNNNNNNNNNNNNNNNNNNNNNNNNNNNNNNNNNNNNNNNNNNNNNNNNNNNNNNNNNNNNNNNNNNNNNNNNNNNNNNNNNNNNNNNNNNNNNNNNNNNNNNNNNNNNNNNNNNNNNNNNNNNNNNNNNNNNNNNNNNNNNNNNNNNNNNNNNNNNNNNNNNNNNNNNNNNNNNNNNNNNNNNNNNNNNNNNNNNNNNNNNNNNNNNNNNNNNNNNNNNNNNNNNNNNNNNNNNNNNNNNUACCUCUUUUAACGACAAGAUUCGUAGUAGAUGAUAAAAAGAAAAUUAACUUCAAAUUUUUUCAUUAAAUGUAAAUCUGAUUGAAGUAGUUUAAAUUUUUCUAGUAGACUAAUAUAUAUAACUUAAAUAAUUAAUUUCAUUAUUAAUUUUUAAAAUGUUAACUAAUAUAUUUUUAAUUUAUUAUAAAAAUUUUAAAUAAAUCCUUGGAUUAAAUAGAUUUUACAAUUAAUGUAAUACUUCUGAUUUAUUAAUAAUAUUAAAAUUAUUUUAUAUGAUAUUCAAAAUAAUUUAAACUUAUAUAUAUAUUAAUAUUAUGUCUAUUUAUUAUAAUAUGGUUUAAUAUUAUACGGGAUUGUAAAAUAUUAAAAUAUUUUUCAAUAUCCAAUUAUUUUAAUAUGUAUAUAUCAUUACAUUUAUUUUAGUAUCGUAUUUAUAUUUAUUAUAAAAUAUAAAAUUAAUAAAAUUAAAGAGUAUUGCAGUAAAGUAAAAAAAAAAAGUCUUAUUAUCUCUUAUUCACAAUAUGAGAUUCUACAAAAUUAUUUCCCGAAACGGGUGUCCUUUUCUUAUUUUCAAAAGAAAAAAUAAAGUAAGAAUAAGUCCAUGGGUUUCAAAAACUUCUAGUCUUAUCCCGGGACUACAUUGUCUGCCACUAUAACUAAUGGAAAUGACAAUACAAUUGACAUUGCCUUUCGCAACAUGACAAAUUUUUGGUGGGAUAUGGAAGAAUUGUCAAAAGUUCACGCCAUGUAAGAGUUUUUGGUGGGAUGUGGGAGGAUUGUCAAAAUAUCACACCACGUGAUAUAACCACAAUUGCUAUGGUUUUUAUUUUUUAAAUAAUGAUGGGAGUUAUAAAUUAUUUAUAUAAAUUUGCGUAGAAACUAAUGUAACAUAAAAGAAGUAGCUGAAUAAUAAUAUUUGGUGCUUUAGGUAAUUUUUAUAUGAGCCUUUCUUUUAUUUAGCGGCUCUAGUGCUUAAACAAACUUGUUCUCGAUCUUAAUUUACUGACCCCAUUUAAGCCUAUGAUGACAUAAUUAAACAUAUUCUUUUGUGACGAAAACAUCAAGAGAAGACAUCUCAUGUUUUAUUAUAACAGAAAAGAAGUGAUCCAAACGUCUAUUCGUUAUUUUAUUUAUUCAAUAUAAAUGGUCAACUUUAAAAAAAUGAUAAAAAUCACACAACGCUCAAGUAAAAAUUUAGAAUUACAUUUUUUAAAACUCUCUGAGUCUCUCUCUCCUGCCCCCCCCCCCCCCUCUUUUUUUUAAAAUAAACCUUAGUGUAAAAUUAGAAGAAUUUUAGAUAUAAAAUUUGGCAAUCGCUAAACAGAAAAGUAGCGGAUUGAAAAUAAAAAAGCUCUAUUAUCAUAGGAAUAUUGAUUAUACAUAAUAUAAUAACUUGUUGUGGUUCAUUGUAGCACUCUGAGCCAUACUUUAAAAUUUACUGGUUUGUUAAUGCUUUUAUUAUUGACAUUAUUGUGUCAAUAUUACUAUAAUUUAUUCAUUUUAUUGUAAUGAUAAUUUGUGUAGUCUUAGGUACUUAUUAUAUUAAAUUAUGUAAAUUAAUUGAGAAUACUUUUAGAGACAAAAGAAACACGUGUAUGUAGGAUUAAUAAUCGAAGAAUUGUAAAUGAAGGUGAUUGCUUCAUUGAGAGGCAUAUUGAAUAAUUAUGGAGGUUGCACUAUUUCGGAAGCACAUAUUUAUACUUCCCUAUCAGGAUUUGGGGUAAACGAAGUGCUUUAUCUAUUGCAGUAAGCAAUGUGGGCAAUAUCAGAGGCGAAAUAUUAAAAGAUUAUAACGCAUAUAUUUGAGCCAUUUAUAUUGAAGACACAUAUAGAGGAAAGAGUGCAGAUCAGGCUUUCCUCAAGUAUUCUCAUGCUUCCGCAACUGUUCUGAACUAUUCUUCAUUGUGGGCAGAUUUACUUAAUUACCAACACUAUGAUUCAAUACUUCAAAGGUUGAGGAAAUGUCAAAAUAUGAAAUGAAAAUACUUAAAUACCCUUCUACCUAACAAAACUUGGUACUUCUAACUGCACUCGCAGAGAAUAUAUAAAAUUAAAAAAAUAUAUAUUCAUCCAUGAAAAGCUUCGUAACAGAAAAACCAUCUUUAAAAAAAAUAAAAAUAAAAUUAAAAAAAAAAAACAGAAAAACCGACUCAUUUAUCUGCCAAUGAACCAAUUGGGACUCAUUUAAAAAAGAAUACAAAGCAAAAGUGAAUGACACAAAUUGCAUAGAUAUCUAGGUAUAAUUUGUCCAAGUAAUAAAUUCUCCUAGGUCAAAAGCAAUUAACGAUGAAAACUUUCUUCAUUAAGGUUCUGGCCUACGUAAAAAAACAGAAAAAACCACCCCAAGGUCAAAGCACAACGAUAAGUUUAGAACUGCAGUUUUUAAUUUUUUUUAAUAAAUCAAUGUGUAUCAAAAAUAGAUAAUAAUUUUGGAUAACUUUUUUUGAUAAAUAUAGACAUAAAAUUUUAAAAUCACCAAACAGAAAAACAGGGGAAUUAAAAGAGAGCCCUUGUUUCUCCUCUGUUUUGUUUGUUAUCAAACAGUGAAAUGAAAAGAUCGCAAGCGGAAAUUUUGUUUCUGCGUUGUAUCUUCUCAAUGCUGCAUGCAUUCAAAUUAAACCUUAUAUAUGCUAGCAAACUAGCUACUCUGCAUGUAAGUUCUCGAUAAGUCCAAAUAAUAGAAUAAUUGUAAAAUGUUAAAAUUCAGUAAUUAAUUAUACAUAUUUAUUUAUUCAAAAAUUAUUAUUAUUAAUUAUUGUCAAUAUAUAUUAAUAUUCUGAUUAAUUGUAAAAAAUUUAUCAUUCAUAACAAUAAUAAUGAUGAUGAUGAUAAUAAUAAUAAUAAUUCAAAAUAUAUUAAUUAAUUAUAAUAAUAUAUUAAUUAUUUAAUAAUAGUAAUAAAUGUAAAAUGUAUAAAUUGAUUAGAAUAGUUAUAUUAAUAAAUUAUAAACAUAUAUUAAUUAAUCAUAAUAAUUUUUUAAUUGAGGACAAAAUAGACAUUUUAUAGUUUGUGAGAGGGGGUAAAAUGGUCAAUCUUGGGAACGGGGGAUUGAUUCCCACCACCUUCCUUGGGAAUCAAUCUUCCAUUCCUCAUUCCUAAAUUUGGGUGGCCCCAUAAUUCUGAUUUGGAUCCCUGCCUCCAUCAUUAAUGAUUUCGAUUUCGGAUUCCGAUUCCCCAAUCCAAGAAGUAAAGGCACCAUUAUUGUUAAUUGGUUCAAACACACAAAGAGAAUGUACCAUGUAGCUAGGCGUCAAGGUUGUGUUGCACAAGUAACCUUUUUCUUUUCUUUUUAUUUUUCUUGUUUUCCUUAACGGAUCAGAAGAAAUUGGUGCCUUUGAGAUACCACAAUGUAAAUAAGUACUUGUGGUUCAUUGAAUCGGUAACACUCGGUACCCUAAGGUUGCUUUGGAAAAAAGGCUUUUCUCACUGAUCGCCAAUAUCCAAGUAAGUUUGUUUCAUUUCAGAAGGUGCAAAGUUUCAAACUUGUUGUAUUGGGAUGUAACAAACUUUGGCCUCAUAUGCCUGCUGUGACGUUAGACUGUUCAUUUUGAUUGUUUCCUACCUUCCACUUACGCCAUUGUAGCACUGUAUUAUUCACCAUUUUAACUGUUUAAAUGAAAUUUUAUUUUUGUCAAAAAUAAAAUGACACCAUUAAAAUUUAGAAAAAUAAUAAUGUAGAUCCCAAAUUUUUAAAAAAGAAUACCAAUAUUCCCCUUGACUACAAUACCCUUAGUAGGUGGUAAUAAAAAAAAAUUGGCUUAAAAUUUUUACGAAAUGUAAAUAUGAUUUAAAUAAUUUAAAUUUUCCAGUAGACUAAUAUAUAUAAUUUAAAUAUUAAUUUUUAAAAUUUAAAUUAAUUUAUUUGUAUUUAUAAAAUAGUUGUAAUUAUUUUAAAAUUUAACUAAAUCCUUAGGUUAAAUAGAUUUUACAAUUAAUAUAAUAUUUCUCAUGUAUUAAUAAUAUUAAAAUUAUUUUAUAUGAUAUUGAAAAUAACCUAAAUUUUUAUAUAUUUAUUUGAAUAUUAUGCUCUAUUUAUUAUAAUUUGGUUUAAUAGAAUACGAGAUUGUAAAAUAUUAAAAUUUUAAAUAUUGAAAUUAUUUUAAUAUGUAUAUAUUAUUAUAUUUAUUUUAAUAUCCUAUUUAUAUUUAUCAUAAAUUAUUAGAGUUAAUUUUUUUAGUUAAUAAAUUUAAAAAAUAUUAUAAUUUUAAAAAAAAAGUCUUGUUGUCCGUUAUUCACGAUAUGAGGUUCUACAAAAUUAUUUCUCCAGGCGGGUGUCCUUUUUUUAUUUUCAAAAGGAAAAACAAGUUCAGGGCCUCAGGGGUUUCAAAAAAUUCUGGUCCUAUCUACCACUAUGACUAAUGGGAAAUGACAUUGCAAUUGACAUUGCUUUCCGCAAUAUGACAAAUUAUUGGAGGGAUAUGGGAGAAUUGUCAAACGUUCACACACGCGAGAGCUUUAGGUGGGAUAGGGGAGGAUUGUCAAGAGUUCACACCACGAGAAACUAAUGAUAGGCCUAAUUUCGUUGUCAGUUCUUUAUUUAUUUAUUUUAUUUAUUUCAUACAUUAUUGUUUUUAUAAAGGUAUAAAAGUAAAGUAAAAUACCAGGGGUGCUGUUAAGUUACAACUUAUGUAACUUGCAAUUUUUUCAAAAAUAAUGUAAAAAAUUUAAUAGGUGGUGGGACCCACAUAUUUUUUAAGAGACUUAAGUUACAACAGUUGUAACUUAACAAAAUCUAAAUAUUAGACAAUAAUGCAUAUAAUUUGGGUUUGAUUUUUAAAAGAUUAUUUGAGUACCACCUAUCCUUAUGAUAUUAAUCUGAUUAUAUCUUAAUAUUAAAUAAUCAAAAUUUGUUUAAUUAUUAUUUGUAUUUCAUACAUUACAUAUUAGAUUUGUUUGAAUUUUAAGUUGUUGCUAAUAAAUAUUUAUGUUGUCAAAGUCAAAGUCAAUAGCUACAAAAGCAGAGAUAAUGGUAUUGUAUAUAGUUUUUAAGAAUGCAAGGAUAAGCUGGAUAAUUGACUUAAAUUCUAAUGAUUAAAAGAGCAACUAUCCCUUAAGUUAUAAUGUCAAUUUCUUUAAUUAGAAAUUUUUUUUUUCAUGUGAUAUAACCUCAAUUGCUACAAUUUUUUUUAUAAUAAUAAUGGGAGUUAUAAAUUAUUUAUAUAAAAUUUGGGUUGAAACUAAUGUAACCUAAAAGUGGUUGCUAAAUAACAAUAUUUGAAACUUUAAGUAAUUUUCAUGAGUCCUUUUUAUAUUCAGCAACUUGAAUUGGGGGAAAUCCGACUUGAAUUGGCGGUUGAUUUUGGUGAUGUGGCUUUUGGUUUACGCCGGCUUUACAGUGGCGGAAGACUGGAUUUACGGUUGCCGAAUGCUAGGGAUUAUGGUGGUGGUGUAAAUUGACGGAAAAAGAAGGUGUUUUGGUGGCGGCGCAUCUAGGAAGCACUCGUGGGUUGUCGUUUCGUGUGCUGACAACGGGCGGCGAUCAAGGGCUGAAGUUGGUUGGUUUUUGGUCAACGGAGGCCGGCGAGUUUGUUGGUGGAGGUGGUUGGUGGAGAAAGUGGCUGAAUGGUGGUGGGUUGCUUGGUGGAGCCGUGGGUUUGGGUUGGUGAUUUGCGGCUGUUGAGGCAGCGAUGACUGAGGCUUGGUCAACUGUGGCUAGUGAGGUUUGUGGUGGUGUUGGCUGGCUGAUCGGCGGUGGUGGGCGGCGGUGGAGGUUGAUGUGACGGGUUGGGUUUUCAAAUUUGUAAAUUUUGUUUUUUGAUGGAUUUGGUUUGGAUAGGUAUGGUGUAUCUAGGAAAGAUGUGCGAUUCGCACAUAAUCAUCUUGAUACCAAUUGAUGGAGCGAGGCGUAGCGGAAGCAGAAUUGAUAGGGUAAGAAACAUUAGAUAUUGUUCUAGUACUAGACCAAGCCAACGCGAUUAGUUCACGCUCUAAUCGAAGCAUGAUUAGAUAUCGUUAUAAUCCAAAUGACUCAAUGAGAUUUUUAAUAAUGCGUAAUACGAGAUUAGAUGACACUCUAAUCCAAACGACUCUACAAGAGAGAUUUUGAUAAAUAAUCCUAGAGAAAAUUAUAAAAGAGGGGUUUUAUUUAAUAAUUGAACUUGAAGUUAUGAAAAUAAUGACAAGACAUCUUUAUUUUUUUUAUUACAAAUAUCUUUAUUUAUAAUAGAAGAAACCCGCUUUCCUAAGUUAACCUAAAAAGAAAAUUUAAAUCAUAAUUAUAAUGGAAAUAAAAGAUUAAAAUACAUACCAUAAUUAACUCAAACUAAAAUAGAAAAUCAUAAAAUAAUAAAUAUUCUAGAAUUAUAAAUUAUCUAAAAUAACGUUAAUUAACUUCUUAAAUCACUUCUUUGGUGUUAACCAUUUUGCAUCCAACCUCGCUUUAAAGGUUUGAACCAACGUUACCAACAAUAAUGUAUCAAAUUCCAAUCUAACUUAAGAUCCUGAUACAUCUACCGAUGUCCUUGUUUGAUUAGACAAUAAUGAGUCUAUCUCAUCACUUGUUACCUCUUUCUUGAAGGCUGCAUCUGUUGAAGUGAUAGUCUCGUUUAGAGUUUAAAGAUCUUCUUCCAUGUUAAAUAAAAUGGGCAUUUGAUUAAAAAACUUUAUCUCUAUCUCCUUCUAUCAAAUAACGACAACUAUCCGAAGGGAAAAAAAAUUAGAAAAGUCCAUGGGUCACAAUAAUUUAUGGUCUGUUCCCGGACCCCAUUAUCUGCCACUAUCAAUGAUGAAAAUGAAAAUAAAUGGCAUCUUCCCAAAAUGGCAAAAGAUUUUUGGGGGAUAUGGGGGAAUUGUCAAAAGUUCACACAACGCGAAACAAGUGUUACAUCCAAUUUUAUUUCGUCAUAUAAUGAUAAUAUCAAAUAAUGACAACCAUCCAAAAGUAUGAUGGGUCUUCCACAAUUUUGAAAAUGUCGUCAACAUUUAAUCUUCAAUGCUAAAGAAGAUGAAAUGACCAAAAAUGACACGCAGGACCAACUUACAGACUAAAUGGCUCUGACCACAUGUAACAAACUUUGGCUUUAUGUCCUUGCUGAGGCGUUAGACUGUUGGUCAUUUUGAUUGCUUUUUACCUUCCAUUUACGCCAUUGUAGCAUUGUACUAUUCACCAUUUUAGCUGUUUAAAUGAAAUUGUUAUUUUUUUUUCCAAAAAUAAAAUGACACCCUUAAAAUUUUAGAAAAUAGCCAUGUAGAUCCCAAAUUUUUAAUAAAGAACACUAAUAUCAUUUUUGACUAUAGUACUCUUAGUAGAUGGUAACAAAAAAAAAUGACUGCAAAAGUUUUUACUAAAUGUAAAUAUGAUUUAAAUAGUUUAAAUUUUCUAGUAGACUAGUAUGUCUAAUUUAAAUAAUUAAUUUUUAAAAUGUAAUUUAAUAUAUUUAUUUUAAUAAUAUAUUUAUCAUAAAAAUUUUAAACAAAUCCUUGGGUUAAAUAGAUUUUAUAAUUAAUAUAAUAUUUCUCAUGUUUUAAUAAUAUUAAAAUUAUUUGAUAUGAUAUUGAAAAUAAUUAAAACUUUUAUAUAUUUAUUUGAAUAUUAUUUCUCUAUUUAUUAUAAUUUGGUUUAAUAGAAUACGAGAUUGUAAAAUAUUAAAAUAUUUUUAGGUAUUAAAAUUAUUUUAAUAUGUACAUAUUAUUAUAUUUAUUUUAAUAUCCUGCUUAUAUUUAUUAUAAAAUAUUAAAAUUAAUUUUUUUAGUUAAUAAAUUUAAAAAUAUAUAUUAUAAUUAAAAAAAGAGUCUUAUUGUCUGUUAUUUACGAUAUGAGGUUCUACAAAAUUAUUUUCAAAAGGAAAAAUAAGUCUAAGGGUUUCAACAAAUUCUAGUCCUAUCUGCCACUAUGACUAAUGGAAACGACAUUGCAAUUGACAUUGCUUUUUGUAAUAUGACAAAUUUUUGGAGGCAUAUGGGAGAAUCAUCAAAUGUUCACACUACGCGGGAGUUUUGGAUGGGAUCAGGGAGGAUUGUCAAGAGUUCACACCACGAGAAACCAAUGAUAGCCCUAAUUUCGCUGUCAGUUCUUUGUUUAUUUAUUUUAUUUAUUUCAUACAUUGUUGUCUUGUUGGCAUUGUUUUGUAAAAUAAAAGUAAAGUAAACUAUUAGGGUGCUGCUAGGUUAAGUUGUUGUAACUUACAGUCCCUUAAAAAAUAAUGUAAAAAAUUUAACAUGUGGUGGGAUCCACAUAUGUUUGAAGAGGCCGUAAGUUACAGUAGUUGUGACUUAGCAAAAUCCAAAUAUUAGACAAUAACGCACAUUAACAAUGCAUAUAAUUUGGGUUUUAUUUUUUUUUAAUUAUUUGAGUAUUAUCUAUCCUUAAGAUAUUAAUGUGAAUAUAAUUUAAUAUUAAAUAAUCAAAAUCUAUUUAAUCAUAAUAUAUAUUUCAUACAUUGCAUGUUUAAUCAAAAUCUGAUUGCUUUUUACCUUCUAUUUCGCCCACUGUAGCAUUCUACUAUUUACCAUUUUAGCUAUUUAAAUGAAAUUUAUUUUUUUUCCAAAAAUAAAAUGACACCCUUAAAAUUUUAGAAAAUAGUCAUGCAGACGCCAAAAUUUUAAUAAAGAACACCAAUACCCUUUUUGACUAUAGUACUCUUAUGGUAGCCACAAAAAAAAAAUGACUUCAAAUUUUUUUACUAAAUGUAAAUAUGAUUUAAAUAGUUUAAAUUUUCUAGUAGACUAGUAUGUAUAAUGUAAAUAAUUAAUUUUUAAAAUGUAAUUUAAUAUAUUUAUUAUAAAAAUUUUAAACAAAUCCUUGGGUUAAAUAGUUUUUAUAAUUAAUAUAAUAUUUCUCAUGUUUUAAUAAUAUUAAAAUUAUUUUAUAUGAUAUUGAAAAUUAUUUUAUAUGUAAAUCAUAUUUACAUUUAAUAGAAUACGAGAUUGUAAAAUAUUAAAAUAUUUUUUGGUAUUGAAAUUAUUUUAAUAUGUAUAUAUUAUUAUAUUUAUUUUGAUAUCCUACUUAUAUUUAUUAUAAAAUAUUAAAAUUAAUUUUUUUAGUUAAUAAUUUAAAAAAAAAUAUUAUAGUUAAAAAAAAAGAGUCUCAUUGUCCGUUAUUCACGAUAUGAGGUUCUACAAAAUUAUUUUCAAAAGGAAAAAUAAGUCCAGGGCUUUCAACAAAUUCUAGUCCUUCUGCCACUAUGACUAAUGGAGACGCAUUGAAUUGACAAUGCUUUUUGCAAUAUGACAAAUUUUUGGAGGGAUAUGAGAGAAUCGUCAAGCUUUCACACCAUGCGAGAGCUUUAGGUGGGAUAUGGGAGAAUUGUCAAGAGUUCACACCACGAGAAAUUAAUGACAAGCCUAAUUUCGUUGUCAGUUCUUUAUUUAUUUAUUUUAUUGAUUUCAUACAUUAUUGUCUUGUUGGUACUAUUUUGUAAAGAUAUAAAAGUACAAGUAAAAUAUUAGGGAAAGUAAAGUAAAAUAUUGGAGGUGAUGCUAAGUUACAGCUGCUAUAACUUACAGUUCCUUCAAAAAUAAUGUAAAAAAUUUAACACGUGGUGGGACCCACAUUAUGUUUGAAGAGGCCGUAAGUUAUAGCAGUUGUAAACUAGUAAAAUCCAAAUAUUAGACAAUAAUACACAUUAACAAUGCAUAUAAUUUGGGUUUGAUUUUUAAAAAAAUUAUAUGAGCAUUACCUAUCCUUAAGAUAUUAAUGAGAAUAUAUUUUAAUAUUAAAUAAUCAAAAUAUGUUUAAUCAUAAUAUGUAAUUCAUACAUUGCAUGUUAGAUUUGUUUGGAUUUUAAGUUGUUGCUAAUAAAUAUUUAUGUUGUGAAAGUCGAAUUCAAUAGCUACAAAAGCAGAGAUACUGGUAUUUUAUGUAGUUUUUAAGAAUACAAGAAUAAGACCAUAAUGCAUGAGAUAAUGGUAUUUUAUAUUAAAAGACCAUAACACAUGUAUUUGAGCCAUUUAUAUUGAGGACACAUAUAAAGCGAAGAGUGCAGAUCCGGCCGUAACUAUUGUGAAGCUUUCCUCAAGUAUUCUCAUGCACACAGCCCUUAUCUGGUCAAGUUCUCUGAUUCAAUAUAAUCAAUUUCCGAGUAGUACUGACGACAGCUUCUCUGUAAAGCUCUUCAACCACAAGCAUUUCUACAAGGCAAAAGACUAGGACGUAUUGGAAUGAAUAUCAAUAAGGGAAUGUCUUAUGAAUUUAGUUUAUAUCCUAAUAUAAGACAAUCAGUAAAUAUUGGAUGCAAUCUAAGGGCUAACAUUUGAUUGAUCAUUAUACGAAAAAAAAAAAAGGUGCAAAAAUACAAAACAUAGCUGAUUGAUGGCCUCUCACAGUCAGUUAUAUGACAAAGUAGCCACCACAACAAACUUUUUUUUUUGAACUGAUUAAGCAUCAGGUUACUGUAUUACACAUAGAGAUAUAUAUAACUGCUAUGACAGCAAGUCAUUAUACUGAUAUUUACAAUCAGAUAUAUACAUGAGACUUAUAUUAUUACAUUUUUAUUAUAUGAAGUACAUGCCCAUCCAAAUCUCCCUCACGGAGGAGGGAUGUCUCUACUCCACUCACAUUUCGCAAGGGAGAAAGACGUUAUAAGAAGUUUUCACCACAACAAACUUGAACUUGGGUGGAGGUCUCAUUAGUAGUAUACCUCAGAAAUUAAGACAAAGACUUUAAAAUGCAAACUUAUGGAGCAAUUUAAGCACUGAAACUAAUAACAGUACGGUAUUAGCAAUUGACCUCUGCUUUUGCUUAGACAAAGGUUUUCAUCACAAUGGACUCAUUAGUUGCCCUUGCCUCACACGUUUGGAUGCUAAGGGGAAAAAGGAAGCUUGAAUUAGUCAAUCUCAUUUCUAAUGGCAUUCACAGAGAACUUAUAA